rnacentral:lncRNA from 1 species
CGGCGAGUCUGGCCACUUCUCCCGCGAGUGCCCCAACAAGGCCCACUAGGCGGCGCAGCUCGUCAGAUCUGAGUGCCCCGUUUCCUUUCGCUCCUUUACCUACCUCUUGAUUCUGCAGCAAGUCAUACCCUAUACCUAUCAGUACUAGUAUUAGUCGCCGUAGCGUUUCCCCCUGCUGCUCGAUGCGAGCUUGGUUUCAGAAGAAUUGCUGGUGGUGUGUUCGUUAAGAUCCAAGUUAUUUUGUUGUCUCUCUGUGAUGAGGACACAGAUCUAUCUAUGUGUUGGAUGGACUAAGUUAUCGAAGUCAAGUUUGGUGUCUUAAGAUUGAUCUAUGAUCUUGCAUGUCUAUUGUUUAUCUUGCAUAUCUGCCAGGCUUGAAAGUGUUGAUUCUGAUAUUCUAUUCUAGCUUAGUGGUGGAUUAUUUUGGAAUCCUGUUCUCCCAUUUCAAUGUGAUUCCAUUGGCGUUUUGAUAGUGGGUACGAUUCGCAAGUUUGAUGCUUUUCAACAGUUUCAUGGUUCAAAAUCUUUCUUAAAUAAGGUCCAUUCUUAUAUGUGCUUGUGCCACUGUAGACCUGCACUGCUUGUCUGACUGCUACUACUAGUUUCUUCUCGUGCCACUUGCUUGCAAAAUGUAACCUAGCUUAAUAUUUUUGCAUCCGUGUUAAGCAAGAUUCGAUGAUUCCUUGCCAUGAUGGAAGGCAAAUUCAAUCAGUUCUGCUGUCAAAUUCAUUAUAAGCUUAAUCUGAAUUCAGCAGUCUCUUAAGAAAGAAGGCACGUUAGCUUACUGAUUAAGCCUAACGCUCCGUUGCAGCUUAGUGGAGAGAGUGUGCUUUGUCUUGGAUGAACGGAAUGGAAUCAUGUCGCUUUAGACUUACGUGUGCGAAGAAUAACAGCCUAAAUUUAGAUCUCCUUAAACAUAUAUGACUGAACCCACGAACUAUGAUUACGAUGACUUAUUAUCUGCGGCUUUUUAGCAUAAAUUUAAUAGCUGUGAGCUUACGAUGACUUGUUAUCUGCGGCUUUUUAGCAUUUUUCAUAGGAAAUUCAAUAGCCACUCCCAAAUGAAACCAUGAUAUGAAUUAUGAAGUACACAUCUCAAUAUUCCAGAUCUCCUGCGUCCUUUGCAGGCAAUGAGCAGGGGGAGGGACCCUGCCCCUGCAGUCGUACUUGGUAGUCUUUUUAGUCCUAAAUGGCAGUUUGUCGGGUAAUCUCAUCGGGGAGGAGACUCCGGCGAGCCCUGUUCGUGGCCGCCAUAGCGUUUGCUGUCCUCGACUUCUUCGAUGCUGGCAACAACUUGGUCUGCCCCGUAUCUUACGAACCCAAUAACCUCCCUGUAUCCAGUUUGCUCCUGCUUUCUCUUCGUGUGUUGAUCUCCAUGGUGAGCUUACCGUCGGAACAAGGGGCGAUAGUGUAGGGAUGGAGGCAACCAAAUCCGUCUUCUCCCAAGUUCCCUUUGUUUCCCUUUAGCUCCAACAAAUUCCUUGUAGAAUUUGGUCAUAUUUAUUCCGUUUCUCUGGCGUUGUUGGUCUAGGUUUUCUCUCCAAUCUACCUUCUGGUCUCUGCUGGUUGGUAUGAAUUGAAGACUGCCUCGAAUUCUGUCCUUAUGGCUUCUGUUCCUGCUUAUGUUCCAUACGUUUUUACGGUCAAUUGGUUGCUAGGUCCAAUCAAUACUUGUUCAUGCCCUCUCCAACCUCUGACUUGGGGCCCCGCAUGGUGAUUCUUGGCUGUGGUGGCCAUUGUUUUAACCUGGUGGCGCUGUAGGAGCCACUCCGUGGUAGGUUUUAGGGCGCAUUUCUCAAGGUUGGAGCUUGGUCGUUGAAGAUUGUAGUAGGACAAGGUGGUGGUGUUUUUUCUUCUUUGAAACGGAGGCAAAAGAUUUGCGUUAUUCAUUAAUUAAACAGAAAAGAAUUGCUUAGUUAAUUACCGAAAAACUGGGCAAAAACCGUCACAAUACACUGAGCGGCACACAUAGUAUACCCCACGCCUCCUUUCAGAGGGCCUCGUCGAGCUAGUACACAUGCAUCAUCGUCAUCACUUCUCCCAAAACAGCGUCAUUGCCUUGCCAAAACGGCGUCACUGCCUUUCCUAAUCCCUGAGCAAGCGAUCCGACUUCACCGUAGACGAGCAUCAACCCAACCCACACCAUUGCUAAGUAAAUAAGCAAUUUUUCGACUAAUUUAAUCUAUAAGUAGAUGACUAGCAAGGCAUUGAAAGAAUUAACGACAUAUUGAUCUAAACAAGCACGUACUACGCAAAGAGUAGACAAAUCUACACAUGAUGCUAGUACUGCUAAUACGAAAAUAAUCAGGAAAGGGAUAAACGCGUUAUACCCUCCAGUAGGCCAUGCAGAAGCCGCCGCGGUGGUGGCGACAACAUCAGCGUUCCCGGCGGCCUUCUUGUCAGCCUCGGUCUUCUCGGCGGCGGCACGUUCGACGUUGGUGGACAUGGUGAUGACGGAGACGACACAGACGUAGUGGAUCGGAGGCGAGCAGUCGCGUAGUCGCUUCCCAAAAACCUAUUCGCUUCUCUCCCGUACAGGAACCGGAGAGAUGGUGUUUCGGAGACCUGCUCUCCCGUCGACCGUGUACGCGACGAACAGGAUGGAGUCACCGGUGGCAACAACAGCAAAGGAACGACGGUGGGUGGUUCGCGUGGAGCAGAUGUGAUCUGAUCGUGGCGGCUAGGGUUAGGAGACACCACAUAUUUAUAUAGGCGCAGCCGCGUGGAGAGACGUGGGCUCGACCCAUGUCCGAGUCCGUGACAGCCCAUGAUCCGACGUCUCAGAUCGUGGCCCAGCUGUCAGAAACUCUCCGUUAGUGACUGGCAAAAAUAAGCGCGUAGGUGUGAGCUCGGCUCGGCUUAUUCCCGCAACCCGCAUCGCGUCGCGUCGCGACGAGGCGUGGCGGGCGGAGGAGGAGGAGCGCGCGAGGGCCUCUUCUCUUCUCAAGCUCCAAUAGCAUGUAGAAGAGAAACCCUUAUAAGAAGGUCCAACUCCUCUUCCACUUUCGGGGUGGGACUAAACUUCCCACCUCCACCUAGUGCCAAUAAACCCACAUGGGUCCUUAGAGAUUUUUCUGAAAUUGUUGGAUGGGCCUAAAGCCCACCCCAUAUUUCAACAAUCCCCCAUCAGAUCUCGAGGGCCCAUUGUGUCCUUUGUCCCAAUAGCUGUUUCGAUAUACUAGUGUUUCAGUGAAGACCUGUUAAGGUUGAGCUUCACCUAGAGCAAGUAGCUAGACUCCUUCACAACUGAACAAUGGACUAUGCCUUGAAUUGUCAGUUUGGCGUAAAGAAGCUUCGCCACAUGUCUUACUAGUACUAGGCUGUCGAUGGCUGACCCCUUGGGUGGAGCAUAUAAGUUACACUCCUGGCCUGUUUAUGAGUUUACUAGAGAUCACCCCAAUCUCAUAGACUGUGACCAGCAGUCGGGCUCACAUAGGUGUGUUCCUUCAAAGAUCGCUCUGUAGGAUAUCAUCCUGCUUACAUAAGCUUUGGAACACAUUAAGACAGUAGUCAUCCUACCAUACAAUAUCGAGAGUAUUGCAUCUCCAACGGAGUGGGUUAGUGUAGUUACUCUCCUCAGUUCACCACUGACUUGUUUUCCCAGGUCCUACUUCACGGCAUCUUCGAUCACAUAGGUUGGGUUACCACCAUGGCAACUCAUGUGGGUCUCAUACCCAUCUCCCACGAUACACUAUCUAUCACAACACGUGAUAGCCCUUUUGUAAAGGGGUCUGCCAGAUUCUUAGCCAUAUGGACAUACUCCAACGCUAUCACUCCGGAGUUUCUUAAUUUUUCGACAGCUUUUAAUCUCAUUCUUAUGUGUUUGUUGGACUUCAUGUUGUCCUUUGAACUCUUCACCUUGGUGAUGACAGUCUGAUUAUCACAGUUCAUAAGGAUAGCCGGAACGUGUUUAUCAACCAAUGGCAAGUCCAUCAGAAGAUCUUGAAGCCAUCCUGCUUCGACACCAGAUUUGUCUAAUGCUGUUAAUUCUGCUUCCAUUGUCGAUCUCAUUAAGAUCGUUUGCUUGCAAGACUUCCAGGAAACAGCACCACCUCCAAGAGUAAACAUAUACCCAGCUGUGGCCUUUAUCUCAUUAGCAUCAAAGAUCCAAUUCACAUCACUAUACCAUUCAAGUACCGACGGGUAUCCGGUAUAGUGAAAUCCGUAGUUCAUAGUACCUUUCAGAUAAUGCAUUACCCUCUCAAUAGCAUGCUAAUGUACAUCACCCGAAUUGGAAACAAACCGUCUCAGUUUGCUUACAGCAAACGCGAUGUCAGGCCUCGUUGCGCUCGCUAGGUACAUGAGUGAACCAAUGAUUUGAGAGUAUCUCAGUUGAUCCUUAGGUGUGCCUUCUGUCGUGGAAUUGUCAUGUCAGAUGUCCUAGUGAAAGGACUUAGUCGUGGAGCCAUCGCAACUAGGAAUCUUAAAGGGGUUAAUCGGGACAAAGUGUUGGGGAACGUUGCAGAAAAUAAAAUUUUUCCUACAGUUUCACCAAGAUCCAUCUAUGAGUUCAUCUAAGCAACGAGUGAAAGGGUAGAUGCAUCUACAUACCACUUUGUAGAUCGCGAGCGGAAGCGUUCAGAAGAACGGGGUUGAGGUAGUCGUUCUCGUCGUGAUCCUAUCACCGGAGAUCCUAGUGCCGAAUGGACGGCACCUCCGCGUUCAACACACGUACGGUCAGCGUGACGUAUCCUCCGUCUUGAUCCAGCAAGGGGGAAGGAGAGGUUGAUGACGAUCCAGCAGCACGACGACGUGGUGGUGGAUGCAGCAGAACUCCGGCAGGGCUUCGCCAAGCUGCUGCGGGAGGAGGACGAGGUGUAGCAGGGGGAGGGAGGCGCCAAGACUUCUGGUGCGGCUGCCCUCCCCCUGCCCUCCUUUAUAUAGGCCCCCAGGGGGGGGGGGCGCCGGCCCUAGGAGAUCAAUCUCCCAAGGGGGGGCGACGGCCAAGGGGGGUGGAGUGCCCCCCUAGGCAAGUGGUGCGCCCCCCCACCUAGGGUUUCCAACCCUAGGUGUAGGGGGGGGGGCCAAGGGGGGGCGCACCAGCCCACUAGGGGCUGGUUCCCCUCCCACUUCAGCCCACGGGGCCCUCCGGGAUAGGUGGCCCCACCCGGUGGACCCCCGGGACCCUUCCGGUGGUCCCGGUAUAAUACCGGGUGACCCCGAAACUUUCCUGAUGGCCGAAACAGCACUUCCUAUAUAGUUUUCUUUACCUCCGGACCAUUCCGGAACUCCUCGUGACGUCCGGGAUCUCAUCCGGGACUCCGAACAACAUUCAGUUUGCUGCAUACUCAUAUUCAUACAACCCUGGCGUCACCGAACCUUAAGUGUGUAGACCCUACGGGUUCGGGAGACAUGCAGACAUGACCGAGACGGCUCUCCGGUCAAUAACCAACAGCGGGAUCUGGAUACCCAUGUUGGCUCCCACAUACUCCUCGAUGAUCUCAUCGGAUGAACCACGAUGUCGAGGGUUCAAGCAACCCCGUAUACUAUUCCCUUUGUCAGACGGUAUGUUACUUGCCCGAGACUCGAUCGUUGGUAUCCCAAUACCUCGUUCAGUCUCGUUACCGGCAAGUCACUUUACUCGUACCGUAAUGCGUGAUCCCGUGACCAGACACUUGGUCACUUUGAGCUCAUUAUGAUGAUGCACUAUCGAGUGGGCCCAGUGAUACCUCUCCGUUAUACGGAGUGACAAAUCCCAGUCUCGAUCCGUGUCAACCCAACAGAAACUUUCGGAGAUACCUGUAGUGCACCUUUAUAGUCACCCAGUUAUGUUGUGACAUUUGGUACACCCAAAGCACUCCUACGGUAUCCGAGAGUUACACGAUCUCAUGGUCUAAGGAAGAGAUACUUGACAUUGGAAAAGCUCUAGCAAAACGAACUACACGAUCUUGUGCUAUGCUUAGGAAUGGGUCUUGUCCAUGACAUCAUUCUCCUAAUGAUGUGAUCCCGUUGUCAACGACAUCUAAUGUCCAUAGUCAGGAAACCAUGACUAUCUGUUGACCAACGAGCUAGUCAACUAGAGGCUUACUAGGGACGUAUUUGGUCUAAGUAUUCACACGUGUAUUACGAUUUCCGGAUAAUACAAUUAUAGCAUGAAUAAAAGACAAUUAUCAUGAACAAGGAAAUAUAAUAAUAAUCCUUUUAUUAUUGCCUCUAGGGCAUAUUUCCAACAGUCUCCGACUUGCACUAGAGUCAGUAAUCUAGUUACAUUGUGAUGAAUCGAACACCCAUAGAGUUCUGGUGUUGAUCAUGUUUUGCUCGCGAAAGAGGUUUAGUCAAUGGAUCUGCGACAUUCAGAUCCGUAUGUACUUUGCAAAUAUCUAUGUCUCCAUCUUGAACAUUUUCACGGAUGGAGUUGAAACGACGCUUGAUGUGCCUAGUCUUCUUGUGAAACCUGGGCUCCUUGGCAAGGGCAAUAGCUCCAGUGUUGUCACAGAAGAGUUUGAUCGGCCCCGACGCAUUGUGUAUGAAUCCUAGGUCGGUGAUGAACUCCUUCACCCAAAUUGCUUCAUGCGCUGCCUCCGAGGCUGCCAUGUACUCCGCUUCACAUGUAGAUCCCGCCACGACGCUCUGCUUGUAGCUGCACUAGCUUACCGCUCCACCAUUCAACAUAUACACGUAUCCGGUUUGUGACUUAGAGUCAUCCAGAUCUGUGUCGAAGCUAGCGUCGACGUAACCCUUUACGACGAGCUCUUCGUCACCUCCAUAAACGAGAAACAUGUCCUUUAUCCUUUUCAGGUACUUCAGGAUAUUCUUGACCGCUGUCCAGUGUUCCUUGCCGGGAUUACUUUGGUACCUUCCUACCAAACUUACGGCAAGGUUUACAUCAGGUCUGGUACACAUCAUGGCAUACAUAAUAGAUCCUAUGGCUGAGGCAUAGGGGAUGAUGCUCAUCUCUUCUUUAUCUUUUGCCGUGGUCGGGCAUUGAGCCGAGCUCAAUCUCACACCUUGCAGUACAGGCAAGAACCCUUUUUUGGACUGAUCCAUUUUGAACUUCUUCAAAAUCUUAUCAAGGUAUGUGCUUUGUGAAAGACCUAUGAGGCGUCUCGAUCUAUCCCUAUAGAUCUUGAUGCCUAAUAUGUAAGCAGCUUCUCCAAGGUCCUUCAUUGAAAAACACUUAUUCAAGUAGGCCUUAAUGCUGUCCAAGAAUUCUAUAUCAUUUCCCAUCAAAAGUAUGCAUCUACAUAUAAUAUGAGAAAUGCUACAGAGCUCCCACUCACUUUCUUGUAAACGCAGGCUUCUCCAUAAGUCUGCAUAAACCCAAACGCUUUGAUCAUCUCAUCAAAGCGAAUGUUCCAACUCCGAGAUGCUUGCACCAGCCCAUAAAUGGAUCGCUGGAGCUUGCACACUUUGUUAGCAUUCUUAGGAUCGACAAAACCCUCCGGCUGCAUCAUAUACAAUUCUUCCUUAAGAUGUCCGUUAAGGAAUGCCGUUUUGACGUCCAUCUGCCAUAUCUCAUAAUCAUAGUAUGCGGCAAUUGCUAACAUGAUUCGGACGGACUUAAACUUUGCUACGGGAGAGAAAGUCUGAUCGUAGUCAAUCCCUUGAACUUGCCGAUAACCCUUAGCGACAAGUUGAGCUUUAUAGAUGGUGACAUUACCAUCCGCGUCCGUCUUCUUCUUAAAGAUCCAUUUGUUUUCUAUCGCUCGCCGAUCAUCGGGCAAGUCAGUCAAAGUCCAUACUUUGUUUUCAUACAUGGAUUCUAUCUCGGAUUUCAUGGCUUCUAGCCAUUUGUUGGAAUCUGGGCCCGCCAUCGCUUCUUCAUAGUUCGAAGGUUCACCGUUGUCUAACAACAUGAUUUCCAGGACAGGGUUGCCAUACCACUCUGGUGUGGAACAUGUCCUUGUGGACCUACAAAGUUCAGUAGCAACUUGAUCAGAAGUACCUUGAUCAUCAUCAUUAAUUUCCUCUCUAGUUGGUGUAGGCACCAAACGUUUUCCUGAGCUGCACUACUUUCCGGUUCAAGAGGUAGUACUUCAUCGAGUUCUACUUUCCUCCCACUUACUCCUUUCGAGAGAAACUCUUUUUCCAGAAAGGAUCCGUUCUUGGCAACAAAGAUCUUGCCCUCGGAUCUUAAGUAUAAGGUAUACCCAAUGGUUUUCUUAGGGUAUCCUAUGAAGACACAUUUUUCCGACUUGGGUUCGAGCUUUUCAGGUUGAAGUUUCUUGACAUAAGCAUCGCAUCCCCAAAAUUUUAGAAACGACAGCUUAGGUUUCUUCCCAAACCAUAAUUCAUACGGUGUCGUCUCAACGGAUUUAGACGGUGCCCUAUUUAAAGUGAAUGUAGCUGUCUCUAGAGCGUAUCCCCAAAAUGAUAGCGGUAAAUCGGUAAGAGACAUCAUAGAUUGCACCAUAUCCAAUAGAGUGCGAUUACGACGUUCGUACACACCGUUACGCUGAGGUGUUCCUGGCGGCGUGAGUUGUGAAAUGAUUCCACAUUUUCUUAAGUGUGUACCAAAUUCGUGACUUAAAUAUUCUCCUCCACGAUCCGAUCGUAAGAAUUUUAUCUUUCGGUCAUGUUGAUUCUCUACUUCAUUCUGAAAUUCCUUGAACUUUUCAAAGGUCUCAAACUUGUGUUUCAUCAAGUAGACAUACCCAUAUCUACUCAAGUCAUCAGUGAGAGUGAGAACAUAACGAUAUCCUCCGCGAGCCUCAACGCUCAUUGGACCGCACACAUCGGUAUGUAUGAUUUCCAACAAGUUGGUUGCUCGCUCCAUUGUUCCGGAGAACGGAGUCUUGGUCAUUUUGCCCAUGAGGCAUGGUUCGCAUGUGUCAAAUGAUUCAUAAGCGAGAGACUCCAAAAGUCCAUCAGCAUGGAGCUUCUUCAUGCGCUUGACACCAAUGUGACCAAGGCGGCAGUGCCACAAGUAUGUGGGACUAUCGUUAUCAACUUUACAUCUUUUGGUAUUCACGCUAUGAAUAUGUGUAACAUUACGUUCGAGAUUCAUUAAGAAUAAACCAUUGACCAUCGGGGCAUGACCAUAAAACAUAUCUCUCAUAUAAAUAGAACAACCAUUAUUCUCGGAUUUAAAUGAGUAGCCAUCUCGUAUCAAACGAGAUCCAGAUACAAUGUUCAUGCUCAAACUUGGCACUAAAUAACAAUUAUUGAGGUUCAUAACUAAUCCCGUGGGUAAAUGUAGAGGUAGCGUGCCGACGGCGAUCACAUCGACCUUGGAACCAUUCCCGACGCGCAUCGUCACCUUGUCCUUCGCCAGUCUCCGCUUAUUCCGCAACUCCUGCUGUGAGUUACAAAUGUGAGCAACGGCACCGGUAUCAAAUACCCAGGAGUUACUAUGAGUACUGGUAAGGUACACAUCAAUUACAUGUAUAUCAAAUAUACCUUCAGUGUUGCCGGCCUUCUUAUCCGCUAAGUAUUUGGGGCAGUUCCACUUCCAGUGACCCUUCCCUUUGCAAUAAAAGCACUCAGUCUCAGGCUUGGGUCCAUUCUUUGACUUCUUCCCAGCAACUGGCUUACCGGGCGCGGCAACAUCUUUGCCAUCCUUCUUGAAGUUCUUCUUACCCUUGCCCUUCUUGAACUUAGUGGUCUUAUUGACCAUCAACACUUGAUGUUCUUUCUUGAUUUCAACCUUUGCUGACUUCAGCAUUGAGAAUACUUCAGGAAUGGUCUUCACCAUCCCCUGCAUAUUGUAGUUCAACACAAAGCUCUUGUAGCUCGGUGGGAGCGACUGAAGGAUUCUGUCAAUGACCGCCUCUUCCGGGAGGUUGAUCUCCAGCUGGGACAGGCGGUUGUGCAACCCAGACAUUUUGAGUAUGUGCUCACUGAAAGAACUGUUUUCCUCCAUCUUGCAACUAUAGAACUUGUCGGAGACUUCAUAUCUCUCGACCCGGGCAUGAGCUUGGAAAACCAUUUUCAGCUCCUCGAACAUCUCAUAUGCUCCGUGCUUCUCAAAACGCUUUUGGAGCCCCGGUUCUAAGCUGUAAAGCAUGCCGCACUGAACGAGGGAGUAAUCAUCAGCACGUGAUUGCCAAGUGUUCAUAACGUCUUGGUUCUCUGGGAUGGGUGCUUCACCUAGCGGUGCAUCUAGGACAUAAUCUUUCUUGGCUGCUAUGAGGAUGAUCCUCAGGUUCCGGACCCAGUCCAAAUAGUUGCUGCCAUCAUCUUUCAGCUUGGUUUUCUCUAGGAACGCGUUGAAGUUCAUGUUGACAUGAGUGUUGGCCAUUUGAUCUACAAGACAUAUUUUGCAAAAGUUUUAGACUAAGUUCAUGAUAAUUAAGUUCAUCUAAUCAAAUUAUUUAAUGAACUCCCACUCAGAUUAGACAUCCCUCUAGUCAUCUAAGUGUUACACGAUCCGAGUCGACUAGGCCAUGCCCGAUCAUCACGUGAGACGGACUAGUCAUCAUCGGUGAACAUCUCCACGUUGAUCGUAUCCUCCAUACGACUGAUGUUCGACCUUUCGGUCUCUGUGUUCCGAGGCCAUGUCUGUACAUGCUAGGCUCGUCAAGUUAACCCUAAGUGUUCUGCAUGUGUAAAUCUGUCUUACAACCGUUGUAUGUGAACGUAAGGAUCUAUCACACCCGAUCAUCACAUGGUGCUUCGAAACGACGAACUUUAGCAACGGUGCACAGUUAGGGGGAACACUUUCUUGAAAUUAUUAUAAGGGAUCAUCUUAUUUACUACCGCCAUUCUAAGUAAACAAGAUGCAUAAAACAUAAUAAACAUCACAUGCAAUUAUAUAGUAGUGACAUGAUAUGGCCAAUAUCAUAUAGCUCCUUCGAUCUCCAUCUUUGGGGCUCCAUGAUCAUCUUAGUCACCGACAUGACACCAUGAUCUCCAUCAUCAUGAUCUCCAUCAUUGUGUCUUCAUGAAGUUGUCACGCCAAUGACUACUUCUAUUUCUAUGGCUAACACGUUUAGCAAUAAAGUAAAGUAAUUUACAUUGCGUUCUUCAAUGACACGCAGGUCAUACAAAAAUAAAGACAACUCCUAUGGCUCCUGCCGGUUGUCAUACUCAUAGACAUGCAAGUCAUGAUUCCUAUUACAAGAACAUGAUCUCAUACAUCACAAUAUAUCAUUCAUCAUUCAUCACAACUUCUGGCCAUAUCACAUCACAUGACAAUUGCUGCAAAAACAAGUUAGACGUCCUCUAAUUGUUGUUGCAUCUUUUACGUGGCUGCAAUUGGGUUCUAGCAAGAACGUUUUCUUACCUACGAAUAACCACAACGUGAUUUUGUCAACUUCUAUUUACCCUUCAUAAGGACCCUUUUCAUCUAAUCCGCUCCAACUAAAGUAGGAGAGACAGACACCCGCUAGCCACCUUAUGCAACUAGUGCAUGUCAGUCGGUGGAACCUGUCUCACGUAAGCGUACGUGUAAGGUCGGUCCGGGCCGCUUCAUCCCACAAUACCGCUGAAGCAAGAAAAGACUAGUAGCGGCAAGCAAGUUGACAAGAUCUACGCCCACAACAAAAUUGUGUUCUACUCAUGCAAUAGAGAACUACGCAUAGACCUAGCUCAUGAUGCCACUGUUGGGGAACGUUGCAGAAAAUAAAACUUUUCCUACGGUUUCACCAAGAUCCAUCUAUUAGUUCAUCUAAGCAAUGAGUGAAAGGGGAUAUGCAUCUACAUACCAUUUUGUAGAUCGCGAGCGGAAGCGUUCAAAAGAACGGGGUUGAGGUAGUCGUUCUCGUCGUGAUCCUAUCACUGGAGAUCCUAGCGCCGAAUGGACGGCACCUCCGCGUUCAACACACGUACGGUCAGGGUGACAUCUCCUCUGUCUUGAUCCAGCAAGGGGGAAGGAGAGGUUGAUGACGAUCCAGCAGCACGACGGCGUGGUGGUGGAUGCAGCAGAACUCCGGCAGGGCUUCGCCAAGCUGCUGCAGGAGGAGGACGAGGUGUAGCAGGGGGAGGGAGGCGCCAAGACUUUGGGUGCGGCUGCCCUCCUUUAUAUAGGCCCCCAGGGGGGGGGGGCGCCGGCCCUGGGAGAUCAAUCUCCCAAGGGGGGCGGCGGCCAAGGGGGGUGGAGUGCCCCCCAAGGCAAGUGGUGCGCCCCCCCCACCUAGGGUUUCCAACCCUAGGCGCAGGGGGGGGGGGCAAGGGGGGGCGCACCAGCCCACUAGGGGCUGGUUCCCCUCCCACUUCAGCCCACGGGGCCCUCCGGGAUAGGUGGCCCCACCCGGUGGACCCCCGGGACCCUUCUGGUGGUCCCGUUACAAUACCGGGUGACCCCGAAACUUUCCCGAUGGCCGAAACAGCACUUCCUAUAUAGUUUUCUUUACCUCCGGACCAUUCCGGAACUCCUCGUGACGUCCGGGAUCUCAUCCGGGACUCCGAACAACAUUCGGUUUGCUGCAUACUCAUAUUCAUACAACCCUAGCGUCACCGAACCUUAAGUGUGUAGACCCUACGGGUUCGGGAGACAUGCAAACAUGACCGAGACGGCUCUCCGGUCAAUAACCAACAACGAGAUAUGGCUACCCAUUUUGGCUCCCACAUACUCCUCGAUGAUCUCAUCGGAUGAACCACGAUGUCGAGGGUUCAAGCAACCCCGUAUACUAUUCCCUUUGUCAGACGGUAUGUUACUUGCCCGAGACUCGAUCGUCGGUAUCCCAAUACCUCGUUCAGUCUCGUUACCAGCAAGUCACUUUACUCAUAUCGUAAUGCAUGAUCCCGUGACCAGACACUUGGUCACUUUGAGCUCAUUAUGAUGAUGCACUACCGAGUGGGCCCAGUGAUACCUCUCCGUUAUACGAAGUGACAAAUCCCAGUCUCGAUCCGUGUCAACCCAACAGACACUUUCGGAGAUACCUGUAGUGCACCUUUAUAGUCACCCAGUUACGUUGUGACGUUUGGUACACCCAAAGCACUCCUACGGUAUCCGGAAGUUACACGAUCUCAUGGUCUAAGGAAGAGAUACUUGACAUUGGAAAAGCUCUAGCAAAAGGAACUACACGAUCUUGUGCUAUGCUUAGGAAUGGGUCUUGUCCAUCACAUCAUUCUCCUAAUGAUGUGAUCCCGUUGUCAACGACAUCUAAUGUCCAUAGUCAGGAAACCAUGACUAUCUAUUGACCAACGAGCUAGUCAACUAGAGGCUUACUAGGGACGUAUUUGGUCUAAGUAUUCACACGUGUAUUACGAUUUCCGGAUAAUACAAUUAUAGCAUGAAUAAAAGACAAUUAUCAUGAACAAGGAAAUAUAAUAAUAAUCCUUUUAUUAUUGCCUCUAGGGCAUAUUUCGAACACAAAGGACACGAGGUUUAUACUGGUUCGGCCCCUUACGGUGAAGGUAAAAGCCUACGAUCAGUUUUGAGUGGGAUUGAUUAUGUUUUGAUUACCAGGGAGCGAAUCCGCUUGACCUAGUUCUCGAUCUGAUGUUACUUGCCCUGAACCGCCGCCGGGUUGUCCCUUUAUAUAUAGAGGUUGACGCCCAGCGGCUCUUAGAGUCCCGGCCGGCUCAUAAACAGUGUCCGGCUCGGUCUCUCUCUAUUCGUGCCUUACAAUACAAGUUACAUACAUAUGGCGGUUUAUCUCUACGGGCCUUAAAUCGCCUUUGGGCUUUGGGCCCUUAACUGAACCGCCAUCUUCAAGUGUCGUCUUAGGCUUCAUAUCUUGAGUCGCCAUAGGUACAACCCGACCCCUCUUUGGCGGGUCAUACCUAAUAGUUAUAUCCCUAACAUUAGGCCCCAGAUUGAUUUGAACGGGUUCAUGUCAGUCUUCAACACUUAGAAAAAAAUCCGCUCUUCGUUUGUACAGAAGCUUUUGUAAUCCGCCAUGACGUCAUCCUCUGGAUUUGGGAUAACCGGCCAUGACGUCAUCUGUCAUUAACACACACUUUGUCCAACAUAUCUCAACGGAUCCUUAUCUUAAUGAUCAUCCUGAGAAUCGAGGCGUCCUAGUAGCUGGAUAACCAUAUUUUCGACCUCCUCAUUUUUUGCGCCCACUUAUCUGUCUUCUCUUAUAAAUAGACACGACCAGGUCUUUUCUCAUUCUUCCCCUUUCCAUCGUCUUCCACCUCUCGCACCCUUCUACCACUCGAGCUCCGCCGCCACCGCAGAGCGCACCAGCGUCCUCGUCCAGGCCGCCGCAUCAACCUGAGUCGAUCCAGAGAACGGCGGCGACCCUCCGCAGUAGAUCUACAGCUAUAAGUUCCUGCUUUCCCGCACCUUAGAUCUGCAUUAGGGUUUCUGCCUGUUCUUCGUGUUCUUCACUGUUUCUUCAUAGUUCCUCCACUGCAGCCUCUUUUGAUCCAAAAGUAAUAUAGAACUCAUCCGGUAGUUUUUUACGUCCAUUUUUGAUACUAGAGGAUCCCUUUUUCUGUAAAGAGGCCUCAUUAGAACUCAGGAACUCAUCUGUACUAGUUUUUUAGGUCUAGAAUAUUUUCUUUUCCUGAACAGCCGCUGAUCCAAAAUAAUAGCUGCAACCUGUGAAACUUGUUUGUGUAACACUUAGGCAAAAACUGUAUUUUGUUACAUCCACCUAGCCAUGGCGACUCUUAUCACCGGCUUAAAAUUGCCAUGCUCAAUUGAUAAUCUUAACCACUCAUGGCGGUUUAGAUAACUUGACUGCUCAUGGCACUCAUGGCGGCUUAAAUAACUUGACAUAAUUAGGUACAUACCAUUAGGCCCCUUUAUAAGCCGCCAUCUUGAAUAUGCACUGUAAUGUUUCUCUUCGGCUUAAAUUUGAACCGAAAAUUUUACUCUUUGUUAGGCUUCCUUCACAGUGCCGCCCAAACAACCCACUUCAUGCAAUUGGGUCAAGUCCAUCGUCACAAAUAGUAUGCUUGAGGACUUUGUGAAGACUGGCUAUCUGCCAAAGAAGGAAGUUAUGUCAUAUCGUGCUCCUGACCCCACAUAAGAAAAACCUUAGCCCAAAGAGGGGGAGGUCAUCGUCUUCACUAACCAUAUGAACUAGGGUUUUUCACCACCCAGCUCAAAGUUCUUCAGAGACGUCAUGCACUUUUUUGACCUUCGUCCUCAAGACAUCGGACUCAACUCCGUGUCUAAUAUUUGCAACUCUCAAGUGUUUAGUGAGGUGUAUCUUGGAGAAGAGCCCAACUUACUACUCUUCAGAGAGUUAUUUUAUUUGAACCGCCAUAAUGAAUGUGCCAAUGGACCUAGCUUGGAGCUUGGCGGGGUCUCAAUUCAACGACGGAGAGACGCCAUUUUUCCUUAUGCAAAUCCACCAAGUCACCCCAAAGACUGGAACCAGACAUGGUUCUAUUGCCAAGACACUUCUUCGGCUGAUGAGAACCCUUUGCCCGGCUUUCACGCUCUGCGUCUUGAUUCCAAUCAUCCGCUUCCUGAUAAGGUGACAACCGCCGAACGCCAGACGCUUGCCCCCACCAUAGCUAAAGUCAAGGCUCUUUUGGGGAAUGGGCUAAAUGGUAUCGACUUGGUCCGGGUUUGGUUUGCCUGGCGGGUCAUUCUGUUGAGCCGCUGCUCCGGUUUGAUGUGCACCUAUACGGGCGCGAGGAAUGACCCUCUACGGCACAACGCUGAUGAUUUACCUGAAGACGUCAUCAACGAUAUGACCAAGUCGCUCUUGAACGAGAGCCUAGCAAAUUGUGGCAAGGUGGGCUUAAGCCCUUUCUGCAAAGCUAACCCAGCUCCAGCGGUAAGCCUCCAACCUGAAUACAUUACCUUCAUCUUUUGAUGUUUUGUCUGUGCUCAAGCCUUUGCUGAUUUUCACAGGCUGAUGAUAAAUUCUGGAAGGCUAAGUAUGAUCAUGAGGCUGCGAAGAGAGCCAGGAAGGCCAAGAGAGCCACCAGGAAAGAGGCCACGAAGAAAAGAGGAAAAAAGUCUAGCACUUCUGAGAUGUCUCAACUGGAGGACUCUUCUGAGUCAAAGGUAGCCCUUGACUCUCUUGGCUCAUUUUUUAAUCACCUUAUUGAUACCGAUUAUAAUUAGGAUGACACGGGAACGAGUCAUGGGGUAGAUGAAGAGGUAACUAUUAUUUCCUCCGACUCAGAGCCUUUUCCAAGGCAAAAAAUCCAAAGAGUAACCCGGAAAGUAAGAUUUUCACAUCCCUUAGCUUAUCAAGAUCCUCAAUUUCUUUUGAAGCGACAGAUUCAUGAGAGCCGGAGGCACACCCGGACUAGCAAAAACACGGAACUCUCCUCCGGCUUACCAAAUACACCAAAGAAACACCGGAACGAGGUCACCUCGGAUUUAAAUCCCUUUUAUCCUUUGAUGGCUCUCACUCGUCAACCACUCAACUCUUCUGACUCGAAUUAUCAGGAAACUUCACCUUCCUCCGGCGACUCAAUCCAGUCCAACUUGCCGACUUUCAAGACCGCUCUAGGGUAAUGAUGACUUACUUACCCUGUAUUCACUUCAAUUUUUUAUAUUUGUACUGAUCUUUUGAUCUUAUGCAACGGAAAGCAAAGCCCAUCAAAAAGGCGAAGAAGAACAAGCCGACCGAAGAGCCGAUCUUCAAAGAGCCGGAACUCCAGACGGCCGCGCCUAAGGCCUCUGUUCUUGAGCUGCCACCUGAACCGGCUCAUGACACGCCGACGCUGUCGGUGUCAAAACCGGCGGAUCUCAGGUAGGGGGUCCUGAACUGUGCGUCUAAGGCUAAUGGUAGCAGGAGGCGGGGGACACAAUGUUUACCCAGGUUCGGGCCCUCUCUAUGGAGGUAAUACCCUACUUCCUGCUUGAUUGAUCUUGAUGAUAUGAGUAUUACAAGAGUUGAUCUACCACGAUAUCAUAGAUGCUAAACCCUAGAAGCUAGCCUAUGAUUAUGAUUGUUGUUGUCAUACGGACUAAACCCUCCGGUUUAUAUAGACACCGGAGGGGGCUAGGGUUACACAGAGUCGGUUACAGAGAAGGAAAUCUACAUAUUCGAAUUGCCAAGCUUGCCUUCCACGCAAAGGAGAGUCCCACUGUCGGUGUCAAAACCGGCGGAUCUCGGGUAGGGGGUCCCGAACUGUGCGUCUAGGCGGAUGGUAACAGGAGACGAGGGACACGAUAUUUUUACCCAGGUUCAGGCCCUCUUGAUGGAGGUAAAACCCUACAUCCUGCUUGAUUAAUAUUGAUGAUGUGGGUUACAAGAGUAGAUCUACCACGAGAUCAAGGAGGCUAAACCCUAGAAGCUAGCCUAUGGUAUGAUUGUUGUUCGUCCUAUGGACUAAAGCCAUCCGGUUUAUAUAGACACCGGAGAGGGCUAGGGUUACAUAGAGUCGGUUACAAUGGUAGGAGAUCUACAUAUCCGUAUCGCCAAGCUUGCCUUCCACGCCAAGGAAAGUCCCAUACGGACAUGGGACGAAGUCUUAAAUCUUGUAUCUUCAUAGUCUUGGAGUCCGGCCGAUGAUGGUAGUUCGGCUAUUCGGACACCCCCUAGUCUGGGACUCCCUUAGUAGCCCCUGAACCAGGCUUCAAUGACGACGAGUCCGGCGCGCAUGUUGUCUUCGGCAUUGCAAGGCGGGUUCCUCCUCCGAAUAAUUUAUAGAAGAUUGUGAACACCAGGAUAGUGUCCGGCUCUGCAAAAUAAAUUCCACAUACAACCGUAGAGAGAAUAAUAUUACACAAGUUCAAUCUGCUGACGUAUUUUGUGGCGUAACUGUUGGGGAAUGUAGCAGAAAUUCAAAAUUUUCCUACGUAUCACCAAGAUCUAUCUAUGGAGAGACCAGCAACGAGUAGAAAGGAGAGUGCAUCUACAUACCCUUGUAGAUCGCUAAGCGGAAGCGUUCAAGUGAACGGGGUUGAUGCAGUCGUACUCAUCGUGAUUCAGAUCACCGAUGAUCCUAGUGCCGAACGGACGGCACCUCCGCGUUCAACACACGUACAGCUCGACGAUGUCUCCCACGCCUUGAUCCAGCAAGGAGAGAGGGAGAGGUUGAGGAAGACUCCAUCCAGCAGCAGCACAACAGCGUGGUGGUGAUGGAGGAGCGUGGCAAUCCUGCAGGGCUUCGCCAAGCACCUACGGGAGAGGAGGAGGUGUCACGGGAGGGAGGGAGGCGCCAAGGGCUCAGGUAUAGAUGCCCUCCCUCCCCUCCACUAUAUAUAGGGGCAGGGGAGAGGGGGGAGGCGCAGCCUUGCCCCUUCCUCCAAGAAAGGGGUGCGGCUAAGAGGGGGGGAGGAGUCCAUCCUCCCCAAGGCACCUCGGAGGUGCCUUCCCCCUUGAGGACUCUUCCCUCUAGGGUUCCCUAGGCUCAUGGGCCUCUUGGGGCUGGUGCCCUUGGCCCAUGUAGGCCAAGGCGCACCCCCUACAGCCCAUGUGCCCCCCCGGGGCAGGUGGCCCCACCCGGUGGGCCCCCGGGACCCUUCCGGUGGUCCCGGUACAAUACCGAUGACCCCGAAACUUGUCCCGAUGGCCGAAACAGGACUUCCUAUAUAUAAAUCUUUACCUCCGGACCAUUCCGGAACUCCUCGUGACGUCCAGGAUCUCAUCCGGGACUCCGAACAACAUUCGGUAACCACAUACAAGCUUCCUUUAUAACCCUAGCGUCAUCGAACCUUAAGUGUGUAAACCCUACGGGUUCGGGAGACAUGCAGACAUGACCGUGACGUUCUCCGGUCAAUAACCAACAGCGGGAUCUGGAUACCCAUGUUGGCUCCCACAUGUUCCACGAUGAUCUCAUCGGAUGAACCACGAUGUCAAGGACUCAAUCGAUCCCGUAUACAAUUCCCUUUGUCUAGCGGUAUUUUACUUGCCCGAGAUUCGAUCGUCGGUAUACCGAUACCUUGUUCAAUCUCGUUACCGGCAAGUCUCUUUACUCGUUACGUAACACAUCAUCCCGUGAUCAACCCCUUGGUCACAUUGUGCACAUUAUGAUGAUGUCCUACCGAGUGGGCCCAGAGAUACCUCUCCGUUUACACGGAGUGACAAAAUCCCAAUCUCGAUUCGUGCCAACCCAACAGACACUUUCAGAGACACCCGUAGUGUACCUUUAUAGCCACCCAGUUACGUUGUGACGUUUGGCACACCCAAAGCACUCCUACGGUAUCCGGGAGUUGCACAAUCUCAUGGUCUAAGGAAAUGAUACUUGACAUUAGAAAAGCUUUAGCAUACGAACUACAUGAUCUUGUGCUAGGCUUAGGAUUGGGUCUUGUCCAUCACAUCAUUCUCCUAAUGAUGUGAUCCCGUUAUCAACGACAUCCAAUGUCCAUGGUCAGGAAACCGUAACCAUCUAUUGAUUAACGAGCUAGUCAACUAGAGGCUUACUAGGGACAUGGUGUUGUCUAUGUAUCCACACAUGUAUCUGAGUUUCCUAUCAAUACAAUUCUAGCAUGGAUAAUAAACGAUUAUCAUGAACAAGGAAAUAUAAUAAUAAUCAAUUUAUUAUUGCCUCUAUGGCAUAUUUCCAACAGUCUCCCACUUGCACUAGAGUCAAUAAUCUAGUUCACAUCUAUAUGUGAUUAACACUCAAGGUCACAUCCCCAUGUGACUAACACCCAAAGAAUUUACUAGAGUCAAUAAUCUAGUUCACAUUUACCAUGUGAUUAACACUCGAUGAGGUCUGGGUUUGAUCAUGUUAUGCUUGUGAGAGAGGUUAUAGUCAACGGGUCUGAACCUUUCAGAUCCGUGUGUGCUUUACAAAUCUCUAUGUCAUCUCCUAGAUGCAGCUACCACGUUCUAUUUGGAGCUAUUCCAAAUAACUGUUCUACUUGGAGCUAUUCUAAAUUGUUGCUCCAUUAUACUAUCCGGUAUCUCUACUCAGAGCUAUCCGGAUAGGUGUUAAGCUUGCAUCGACAUAACCCUUUACGACGAACUCUUUUACCACCUCCACAAUUGAGAAAAUUCCUUAGUCCACUAGUUACUAAGGAUAACUUUGACCGCUGUCCUGUGAUCCAUUCUUGGAUCACUCUUGUACCCCUUGACUGACUCAUGGUAAAGCACACUUCAGGUGCGGUACACAACAUAGCAUACUGUAGAGCCUAUGUCUUAAGCAUAGGGGACGACCUUCGUUCCUUUCUCUCUAUUCUGCCAUGGUCGAGCUUUAAGUCUUAACUUCAUACCUUACAACUCAGGCAAGAACUCCUUCUUUGACUGAUCCAUCUUGAACACCUUCAAUAUCACGUCAAGGCAUGUGCUCAUUUGAAAGUACUAUUAAGCGUUUUGAUCUAUCCUUAUAGAUCUUGAUGCUCAAUGUUCAAGUAGCUUAAUCCAGGUUUUCCAUUGAAAACACUUUCCAAAUAACCCUAUAUGCUUUCCAGAAAUUCUACGUCAUUUCUGAUCAUUAAUAUGUCAACAACAUAUACUCAUCAAAAAUUCUAUAGUGCUCCCACUCACUUCUUUGGAAAUACAAGUUUCUCAUAAACUUUGUAUACACCCAAAAUCUUUGAUCAUCAUCAAAGCAUACAUUCCAACUCCGAGAUGCUCACUCCAGUCCUCAGAAGGAUUGCUGGAGCUUUGCAUACUUAUUAGCAUAUUUCAGGAUAGACAAAACCUUCCGGUUGUAUCACAUACAACCUUUCCUCAAGAAUCGUCGAGGAAACAAUGUUUUUGACAUCCUAUCUGCAAGAUUUCAUAAAUAAUGCAGUAAUUGCUAAUAUAAUUCCAACAGACUCUUAGCAUCGCUACGAGUGAGAAAGUCUCAUCGUAGUCAACUCCUUGAACUUGUCGAAAAACAUCUUAACGACAAGUCGAGCUUUCUCAAUGGUGACACUUACCAUCAUUGUCUGUCUUCCUUUCAAAAUCCAUAUGUACCUAACAGCCUUACGACCAUCAAGUAGUUCUUCCAAAGUCUACACUUUGUUUUCAUACAUGGAUCCUCUCUCGGGUUUUAUGGCCUUGAGCCAUUUAUCGGAAUCCGGGCCCACCAUCGCUUCUCCAUAGCUUGUAGGUUCAUUGUUGUCUAACAACAUGACUUCCAAGACAGGAUUACGUACCACUCUGAAGUAGUACGCAUCCUUGUCAUCCCACGAGGUUUGGUAGUGACUCGAUCCGAAGUUUCAUGAUCACUAUCAUAAGCUUCCACUUCAGUUGGUGUACGUGCCACAGGAACAACUUCCUGUGCCCUGCUACACACUUGUUGAAGUGACGGUUCAAUAACCUCAUCAAGUCUCCACCAUCCUCCCACUCAACUUUUCGAGAGAAACCUUUCCUCGAAAAAGGACCCGAUUCAAGAAACAAUCCCUAUUGCUUUCGGAUCUGAAACAGGAGGUAUACCCAACUGUUUUGGGUGUCCUAUGAAGAUGCAUUUAUCCGCUUUGGGUUCGAGCUUAUCAGCCUGAAACCUUUCCACAUAAGCAUCGCAGCCCCAAACUUCUAAGAAAUGACAGCUUAGGUUUCUCUAAACCAUAAUUCAUACGGUGUCAUCUCAACGGAAUUACGUGGUGCCCUAUUUAAAGUGAAUGUGGUUGUCUCUAAUGCCUAACCCAUAAACUAUAGUGGUACUUCGAUAAGAGACAUCAUGGUAUGCAUCAUAUCCAAUAGGGUGCAGUUAUGAUGUUCGGACACACCAUCACACUAUGGUGUUCCAGGCUGUAUUAGUUGUGAAACAAUUUCCACAAUGUCUUAAUUCUGUGCCAAACUCGUGAUUCAGAUAUUCAUCUCUAUGAUCAUAUCAUAGAUCUUUUAUCCUCUUGUCACAACGAUCUUUCGACUUCACACUGAAAUUACUUGAACCUUUCAAUAAUUCAGACUCGUGAUUCAUCAAGUAAAUAUACUCAACAUCUACUCGAAUCAUCUGUGAAGUAAGAACAUAACGAUAUUCACUGCAUGCCUCAGCACUCAUUGGACUGCACACAUCAAAAUGUGUUACUUCCAACAAGUUGCUUUCUUUUUCCAUCUUACUGAAAACGAGGCUUUUCAGUCAUCUUGCCCAUGUGGUAUGAUUUGCAUGUCCCAAGUGAUUCAAAAUCAAGUGAGUCAAAAUGGUCCAUUUGCAUGGAGUUUCUUCAUGCAUAUACACCAAUAGACAUGGUUCGCAUGUCUCAAACUUUUCAAAAACGAGUGAGCCCAAAGAUCCAUCAAUAUGGAGCUUCUUCAUGCGUUUUAUACCGAUAUGACUUACGUGGCAGUGCCACAAGUAGGUGGUACUAUCAUUACUAUCUUUUGGCAUGAACAUGUGUAUCACUACGAUCGAGAUUUAAUAAACCAUUCAUUUUAGGUGUAAGACCAUUGAAGGUAUUAUUCAAAUAAACAGAGUAACCAUUAUUCUCCUUAAAUGAAUAACCGUAUUGCGAUAGACGUAAUCCAAUCAUAUCUAUGCUCAACGCAAACACCAAAUAACAAUUAUUUAGGUUUAACACCAAUCUCUUUGGUAGAGGGAGCGUGCGAUGCUUGAUCAUAUCAAGCUUGGAAAAACUUCCAACACAUAUCGUUAGCUCACCUUUAGCUAGUCUCCGUUUAUUCUGUAGCCUUUUGUUUCGAGUUACUAACACUUAGCAACCGAACCGGUAUCUAAUACCCUGGUGCUACUAGGAGUACUAGCAAAGUACACAUUAACACAAUGUAUAUGCAAUAUACUUCUAUCCACCUUGCCAGCCUUCUUAUCUACCAAGUAUCUAGGGUAAUUCUGCUCUAGUGGUUGUUCCCCUUAUUACAGAAGCACUUAUUCUCGGGUAUGGGUUCAACCUUGGGUUUCUUCACUAGAGCAGCAGCUGAUUUGCCGUUUCAUGAAGUAUCCCUUCUUGCCCUUGCCCUUCUUGAAACUAGUGGUUUCACCAACCAUCAAUAAUUGAUGCUCCUUCUUGAUUCCUACUUUCGCGGUGUCAAACAUCGUGAAUACCUCAAGGAUCAUCAUAUCUAUCCUUGAUAUGUUAUAGUUCAUCACGAAGCUCUAACAGCUUGGUGGCAAUGACUUUGGAGAAACAUCACUAUCUCAUCUGGAAGAUCAACUCCCACUCGAUUCAAAUGAUUGUUGUACUCAGACAAUCUGAGCACAAGCUCAACAAUUGAGCUUUUCUCCUUAGUUUGCAGGUUAAGAAAAUCGUCGGAGGUCUUAUACCUCUUGACGUGAGCACGAGCUUGAAAUCCCAAUUUUAGCCCUCGAAACAUCUCAUAUGUUUCGUGAUGUUUCAAAAACGUCUUUGGUGCCUCAACUCUAAACCGUUUAACUGAACUAUCACGUAGUUAUCAAAACGUGUAUGUCAGAUGUUCGCAACAACCACAGACAACGUUCGAGGUUCAGCACACUGAGCGGUGCAUUAAGGACAUAAGCCUUCUAUGAAGCAAUAAGGACAAUCCUCAGUUUACGGACCUAGUCCGCAUAAUUGCUACUAUCAACUUUCAACUAAUUUUUCUCUAGGAACAUAUCUAAACAGUAGAACUAUAGCGUGAGCUACGACAUAAUUUGCAAAAACCUUUUGACUAUGUUCAGGAUAAUUAAGUUCAUCUUAUGAACUCCCACUCAGAUAGACAUCCCUCUAGUCAUCUAAGUGAUUACAUGAUCCGAGUCAAACUAGGCCAUGUCCGAUCAUCACGUGAGACGAACUAGUCAUCAUCGGUGAACAUCUUCAUGUUGAUCGUAUCUUCUAUACGACUCAUGUUCGACCUUUCGGUCUCCGUGUUCCGAGGCCAUGUCUGUACAUGCUAGGCUCGUCAAGUUAACCCUAAGUGUUUCGCGUGUGUAAAUCUGUCUUACACCCGUUGUAUGUGAAUGUUAGAAUCUAACACCCGAUCAUCACGUGGUGCUUCGAAACACGAACUGUCGCAACGGUGCACAGUUAGGGGAGAACACUUCUUGAAAUUGUUGUAAGGGAUCAUCUUAUUUACUACCGUCGUUCUAAGCAAAUAAGAUGUAUAAACAUGAUAAACAUCACAUGCAAUCAAAUAGUGACAUGAUAUGGCCAUCAUCACUUUGCUCCUUUUGAUCUCCAUCUUCGGGGCUCCAUGAUCAUCAUCGUCACCGGCAUGACACCAUGAUCUCCAUCAUCAUGAUCUCCAUCAUCGUGUCUUCAUGAAGUUGCCUCGCCAACUAUUACUUCUACUACUAUGGCUAACAGUUAGCAAUAAAGUAAAGUAAUUACAUGACGUUUAAGUUGACACGCAGGUCACAAAUAAAUAAAGACAACUCCUAUGGCUCCUGCCGGUUGUCAUACUCAUCGACAUGCAAGUCGUGAUUCCUAUUACAAGAACAUGAUCAAUCUCAUACAUCACAUAUAUCAUUCAUCACAUCCUUUUUUUUGGCCAUAUCACAUCACAUAGCAUACCCUGCAAAAACAAGUUAGACGUCCUCUAAUUGUUGUUUGCAUGUUUUACGUGGCUGCUAUGGGUUUCUAGCAAGAACGUUUCUUACCUACGCAUGAACCACAACGUGAUAUGCCAAUUGCUAUUUACCCUUCAUAAGGACCCUUUUCAUCGAAUCCGAUCCGACUAAAGUGGGAGAGACAGACACCCGCCAGCCACCUUAUGCAACUAGUGCAUGUUUGUCGGUGGAACCGGUCUCACGUAAGCGUACGUGUAAGGUUGGUCCGGGCCGCUUCAUCCCACGAUGCCGCCGAAUCAAGAUAAGACUAGUAACGGCAAGCAUAUUGAACAAUAUCGACACCCACAACUACUUUGUGUUCUACUCGUGCAAAGAAUCUACGCAAUAGACCUAGCUCAUGAUGCCACUGUUGGGGAACAUAGCAGAAAUUCAAAAUUUUCCUACGUAUCACCAAGAUCUAUCUAUGGAGAGACCAGCAACGAGUAGAAAGGAGAGUGCAUCUACAUACCCUUGUAGAUCGCUAAGCGGAAGCGUUCAAGUGAACGGGGUUGAUGGAGUCGUACUCGUCGUGAUUCAGAUCACCGAUGAUCCUAGUGCCGAACGGACGGCACCUCCGCGUUCAACACACGUACAGCUCGACGAUGUCUCCCACGCCUUGAUCCAGCAAGGAGAGAGGGAGAGGUUGAGGAAGACUCCAUCCAGCAGCAGCACAACGGCGUGGUGGUGAUGGAGGAGCGUGGCAAUCCUGCAGGGCUUCGCCAAGCACCUACGGGAGAGGAGGAGGUGUCACGGGAGGGAGGGAGGCGCCAAGGGCUCAGGCAGCCUUGCCCCUUCCUCCAAGAAAGGGGUGUUGCUAAGAGGGGGGGAGGAGUCCAUCCUCCCCAAGGCACCUCGGAGGUGCCUUCCCCCUUGAGGACUCUUCCCUCUAGGGUUCCCUAGGCGCAUGUGCCUCUUGGGGCUGGUGCCCUUGGCCCAUGUAGGCCAAGGCGCACCCCCUACAGCCCAUGUGCCCCCCCGGGGCAGGUGGCCCCACCCGGUGGGCCCCCGAGACCCUUCCGGUGGUCCCGGUACAAUACCGAUGACCCCGAAACUUGUCCCGAUGGCCGAAACAGGACUUCCUAUAUAUAAAUCUUUACCUCCGGACCAUUCCGGAACUCCUCGUGACGUCCGGGAUCUCAUCCGGGACUCCGAACAACAUUCGGUAACCACAUACAAGCUUCCUUUAUAACCCUAGCGUCAUCGAACCUUAAGUGUGUAGACCCUACGGGUUCGGGAGACAUGCAGACAUGACCGUGACGUUCUCCGGUCAAUAACCAACAGCGGGAUCUGGAUACCCAUGUUGGCUCCCACAUGUUCCACGAUGAUCUCAUCGGAUGAACCACGAUGUCAAGGACUCAAUCGAUCCCGUAUACAAUUCCCUUUGUCUAGCGGUAUUUUACUUGCCCGAGAUUCGAUCGUCGGUAUACCGAUACCUUGUUCAAUCUCGUUACCGGCAAGUCUCUUUACUCGUUCCGCAACACAUCAUCCCGUGAUCAACCCCUUGGUCACAUUGUGCACAUUAUGAUGAUGUCCUACCGAGUGGGCCCAGAGAUACCUCUCCGUUUACACGGAGUGACAAAAUCCCAAUCUCGAUUCGUGCCAACCCAACAAACACUUUCAGAGACACCCGUAGUGUACCUUUAUAGCCACCCAGUUACGUUGUGACGUUUGGCACACCCAAAGCACUCCUACGGUAUCCGGGAGUUGCACAAUCUCAUGGUCUAAGGAAAUGAUACUUGACAUUAGAAAAGCUUUAGCAUACGAACUACAUGAUCUUGUGCUAGGCUUAGGAUUGGGUCUUGUCCAUCACAUCAUUCUCCUAAUGAUGUGAUCCCGUUAUCAACGACAUCCAAUGUCCAUGGUCAGGAAACCGUAACCAUCUAUUGAUUAACGAGCUAGUCAACUAGAGGCUUACUAGGGACAUGGUGUUGUCUAUGUAUCCACACAUGUAUCUGAGUUUCCUAUCAAUACAAUUCUAGCAUGGAUAAUAAACGAUUAUCAUGAACAAGGAAAUAUAAUAAUAAUCAAUUUAUUAUUGCCUCUAGGGCAUAUUUCCAACAGUAACGUCACACCACCACCAAGCCUUCAAAUUGUUUUUAUUGUUCCAUCUCAGCGUGUUUAGCGAGGCGGUUUUCUUGGCACGUCUUGUCGAAGCAGAGAUCGUGUUCCCCUUAUUCCAGGAUUCCCAUCAAUACGGACGUGGGUAACCCAACCGCGCCAUUGAUUGCGGUGCUUGGGAGAUAAGUGAGUUUUAUCAGGCCGGUGGGGACGCAUGUUUCCGUCCGCCCAUAUAAGGGGAUAAAGAUCCAACCUUUUUUACCCGCGCCUUCUUCCUCCUUGGCUUAUCCAUCUCCGCGAACUCGAGCUCUAGCGCCCAAGCCCGCACAUCUCACCUCAACCUUCUCCAAAUAUGUCCAGAGCGGGAGGCAAGUGGAUGGACUCCUCCGUCACAGAGGGGCAUAUCCAGAAGCUGCGCAGCACCGGAUACUUGUCCAGCGACAUCGCACAUCGGCUCCCCGACGAGGGAGAGCUCAUCCCCACCCCUAGGCCCCAUGAGAGGGUAGUAUUCCUUCCCCAUUUCCUCUGCGGACUGGGCUUCCCACUUCAUCCCUUUGUCCGGGGGCUCAUGUUCUACUACGGCCUAGAUUUCCAUGAUCUGGCCCCGAAUUUUAUCCUCAACAUCUCGGCGUUUAUCAUCGUGUGCGAGGCCUUCCUCUGCAUCCGGCCCGACUUCGGCUUGUGGCUCAAGACCUUCAGUGUCAAGCCGAAGGUUGUGAAGGGCAGCCAAGUGGAGUGCGGAGGCGCCAUGGUGGGCAGGAUGUCCCACGUUACGUGGCUGGAGGGUACUUUCGUGGAAACCAUUAAGGGGUGGCAAUCGGGGUGGUUCUACAUCACCGAGCCGCGUGACCCUGAUUGGGCAACGGCCCCCGAAUUUAGAUCCGGUAUCCCUACACGGCUCACCUCCUGGAAAGAGAGUGGCCGGAUCUGGGGGGAUUCGCAGGACUGACCGGACUCCGAGCCUGUAUCCAGAAGCUGGUGGACAAGAAGCUCAAGCUUGUCAACGUAGUCUAGGUCAUGCUCAUCCGCCGGAUUCUCCCGUGCCAACGACGAGGCUUCAACAUGUGGGAGUUCGAUCCGGCGCAGCACCAGACUUUGAAUGGGCUCUUCGACACUACGUACGAAGAGGUCUGGAAGGUGCUGUUCAAGGGCGCCGAGGCUCCCUCAUCCACUACCGAAGAUCGCGGAUUCAGCUCGCAGCGUCCAGCUGACGAGGUAAGUGAUAUUGUCCUUUACGGGACGCUUGUUAUUCAUAGUUUGACUCUAUGCGGGAUCUAAACUCCCUUUCCUUUGACAGGACUGGCUGAAGAAGGCCGCACAGGCUAUCUGUCCGGCCCCAUUGCCAGACGACCCAACUGACGCCCGCCUAACGGGGCUGCUGGCUCCGGCACCCCACGUGGUGUCGGAGAAGAAGGCCAAGAAGAAGGCCACGGGGACUCGGAAGAGUUCCCGUUUUCAGGUGCUAUUGGACGAUGAAUCCGAGGCCGACUCCUCCCACCAAGGCGAGGAGGAGAAGAAGAAAGCCUCUCCCCCAGCGGGGGGAGGGAAGAAAAGGAAGGCCUCCCCAACAAGGGAGGCCGAAGGGUCCAAGAGGGGAAAAACUCUUCCCCCGGACUGUUCAGCCAAUGCUAGUGACGACGACAAGGACUGGCCUCCAAGGGCCAAGCCUCUAGCGAGAUCAUAAGUAUCCGGACUCCCGAAUAACUUCAAGGUUUUCAUUUUCCGCCACAUUAUGUCUUUCUAAUGCCGCAUACAACCCUGCAGUCCGCCUAAGGAUGAUCUCCCCACUUCGUCGAGUGGGUCCUUAGGGUCGUCGGAUAUGGAUUCUCUUCCGACUGCCUCCACCCCCCGUGAUGCGGACGAUACCGAGGUGGGAUCCCAGGAAGGGAUCCACUAGGAGGAGAGGGCCCUGGAGGUGUUGCAGGACAACCUCCCGGACUUUGCACCGGACUCAGCCCCGGAACCCAUAGUGGCUCCGGAGUCCGGCGGGCGACCCCUUCGUAAGAAGGGCAAGACCGCGACGCCGGCUACCUCCGUCCAACCGGAGGUGCCGGAUAAUUUGCUAGAGGCGCUCAAUAGCGCCUCUAUUAAAGAGGAACACCGCACUGUUAUGAGUGCGGUGAUUCAGAAAGUUCAGCUCGCCAAGAACGGGCUGACCGAAGCCUGCAGCAGCCUUCUAACAGGCUUUGAGGUAAGAAUUUCAAUAUAUGUAAAAUGGUACUGCAUAGACAGUAGCCCCUGAUGCUCGGUUCGGUGGUCAGAAAGAAAAGCCGGACUGAGGAUCUUUAGAAAGAUAAACCCAGGAGUCAUGAAAAUAUGUCAAUAUGGGAUUGCAGGCUGUGCUACUAACCUCUGCCGCACUGACUGCGGAGGUCAAGACUUUGAAGGAAAACCUCGAGCGGUCCGAGAACGAGCUCGGCCAUGCCAAGAAGCAGCUCGAGGAAGAAGAAGGUGAGUAAUACCUUAUGAAAAUUGUACCUUACAGAAAAGGAUUUGGUUGCAAGAAAAAUGACAAGGAUAACUGGGGUAUUGUAGGGGCCACUAACGAGGUGGCGACCCUGAAGGAGGCGAUGGCCGCGGCCGAACGCAAUGCGGCUGUGGAGCGCACCGAGCGAGAGAAACAGGAGGCGCGGGUGGCGGAGGUACAGCAAGAGCUCCAGGAUCUCGUGAGGAAACAUGAGAGCCUGGAGCGUGACUCAAAGACUCGAGAGUCUGAGCUUGCAACGGCUCUUGAGAGUGCCAAAGCCGCUAAGGCCGAAGCCUACAAGGCCCUCCAGGAGAUCGAGGCGGUAAAGAAAAUAGCAGCGGGUAAGGCAUUUUUCAUGCAAAGUAAGCAUGUGAGUGUUAAUUACCUGUCGCUUACCCGAAUUCGGAGCUCUCCAGGAGCGUUCGCAGAUCUUCCUCGCAGCGUGUCCGAUGCUGCCGCAUUCUACCGGGCCGAGGAGGGGAGCUCAACGGAGAAGGUCUUUUGGUCUCAGUAUGCUGAGGCCGAACAUCCGGUGCCCCUUAGCGACCAGCUGAAGCAGCUGGUCGAGCUCCACAAGGCAGCCGAACAGGCCAUGAAGGGCCUCAUAGUUCGGCUGUGGCCUAAGGAGGCCAUGCCUGGGAGCUACUUCGGCCUGGUGCGGCGGCUGGUGGAUGCGUGCCCGUGGGUUGAAGUCAUCAAGCACUCCGCCUGUAUUGAAGGUGCCCGUCAGGCCCUUGCCCGCGCAAAGGUGCACUGGGGCAAGAUGGAUGCCCAGAAGCUUGUGAUGGACCCACCACCAGAGGGCAAGGAGCAUCGCACGCCCAAGAUGUAUUAUAGGAGUGUGCUGAAGGGCGCCCACAUUAUUGCGGGUGAGUGCUCCAAAGAAGAAGUUUUUGAGUAGACUCGUGUUUUGUCAUCCUGUGCGCUGAAAACUAAGUUCAUAUGCGCGAAGCAACACUUGUUAAUUUAAAAUAUUACCUUCUGUGCGGCUGUUUAUCAAAUCUGAGAGAUGGCAAGUCGUCGGCUUCAGAUCCCAUGCCACGAGUGCUGGGGUGUUCGGGAUAAAUUUGGGCACUCUUGUUCCCAUAUUUGGGUCCAUUGAGGGAGGCGCUCAACACAACGAACAAGGCAACCAGACUUAUAAUGCUUGAACACUCUCACUUAGCCAUAGAAUUCUAUAAUUUUAAAUUUCGGCGAAGCCCCUAGUUUUCGGAAGGCCGAAUUUGGGGCGCUAUCCACGCCUUGGCCGGACAGAAUCCGACUCCUCGCUCGAAGCGGCAUAAGUCUUUAGGGACUCGCAAAGAACCUCUCGAACAGCGACCAGCUCUCGCCUCAUCAUGACGGUCAAUUUUAGCUUUGUCCACUGAGGUGUUAACCCAGCUCAACUGGGGCGCAAUCGCAGUGGUUCUCCCAGUGCUACCUUAGCCGAUAAAACGGAACGUAAGGUACCAAAACAUGGGAGCCGGGCAAACCCAACUAUUGACCCAAGAACAUGAUUCGGAGCCGAUGCAUAUAAUGCUAUAAGUUCGGGGUGCCGCACUUGUGAAAGUGUUCGGACUUAUCACACCAUAACACGGGAAACAUAAGCCCCUAGUGUAUUUAGCCGUACCAAAACAUACGGAUGCAACAUGUCAUAGAUGAACAUAUGUGUAAGAAAGAAAUGCAAUUGGAAGGAAAAAUGUGCUGCAUUGCUUUAUUCAAAUAAAAACUGCUGUAAAUGCAGGACAAUACAAGUGGUGCGGUAAGCAAGGGAUGGGACUGUUUAACAUGUCCCCCUCCAGGGGUAGGCUACGGAAUAAUGCAUAAAACAUAUUUAAUGCUCAUAAUGGAGACCACCUGGAUUUUCGUUGUAGCCUUUCUCCUUCCCUGGCUGUUGUAUCGUGGAUUCGGCAUGUCUGCUGCCGGACAGGGCCUCUGACGAACGGAGUCCUGUAGGUAAAAAAUAAAAGGAAAAGAAAAAGAAACGGCACACUUAAGAGCCCCUGGUGCGGUUGAGCCGCAGUUUGGGCUUAUCGUGGUCGAGCCCCUUGCCCCAUGCCCAUGGCAUCUUCAGAGCGUAAUGGAGUACGUGAAGGGUCUGUCUUAAUGUUUUACAGGGGCUGGGGUUGGGGCCGCACUGCUACACGUGCUCGGAACGUGCCAGGUGGUCGUGUUGUAGGUUACUCCGGGCACGCUUAGCUGUGUCCGGCCGCUUGGCAGCCGGACUCGAGAAUUGCCUAAAAAGGCUGCUUUGUACUUCUGCCGCGAGAGCUGCUGUAUGUUCCUCCGUUCGGAGGGAGCAUUCAGUGUUUCCGUUGACGGUGAUGACUCCUCUAGAGCCUGGCAUCUUGAGCUUGAGGUAUGCGUAGUGCGGCACCGCGUUGAACUUUGCGAACGCGGUACGUCCGAGCAAGGCAUGAUAGCCGCUGCGGAACGGGACUAUGUCGAAGAUUAAAUCCUCGCUUCGGAAGUUAUCCGGGGAUCCGAAGACCACUUCCAGUGUAACUGAGCCUGUACAAUUGGCUUCUAGACCUGGUAUGACGCCUUUAAAGGUCGUCUUGGUAGGUUUAAUCCUUGAGGGGUCUAUGCCCAUUUUGCGCACCACGUCCGAUAAAGCAGGUUUAGGCUGCUGCCGCCGUCCAUCAGGACUCUGGUAAGAUGAAAUUCAUCGACGGUUGGGUCUAGAACCAAUGUGGCGAACCCACCAUGGCGAAUGCUGGUGGGGUGGUCCCUUCGGUCAAAGGUGAUCGGGCAAGAGGACCAUGGAUUGAACUUCGGGGCAACUGGCUCCAUCGCGUAUACAUCCCUGAGUGCACACUUCCGCUCCCUUUUGGGUAUGUGCGUGGCAUAUAUCAUGUUCACCAUCCGCACCUGUGGGGGGAAACCCUUCUAUCCUCUAUUGUUCGGCGGUCGGGUCUCUUCCUCGUCGUUGCUAUGUAGCCCCUUGUCGCUGUUUUCGGCAAUUAACUUGCCUGCCUGCUUGAACACCCAACAGUUCCUAUUGGUGUGGUUAGCUGGUUUUUCAGGGGUGCCAUGUAUCUGGCACAAGUGGUCGAGAAUUCGGUCCAAAUUGGACGGACCCUGAGUUGUUCUUUUGAAUGCCUUUUUCCAUUGACCGGGUGUAGAGCCUCUGAAUCCGGCAUUGACUGCCGUAUCCUCACUGUUAUCGCCGUUAAUGCGGUGUUUGUUUGUGUUGCGACGCGACCUGCCACUACGGUCCUUGAUAUCCGGACUGCCAGAAUUUUUGUUGAGGUUGUUGCUGCGUGCUAGCCAGCUGUCCUCACCCGCACAAAAGCGGGUCAUGAGUGAUGUAAGGGCUGCCAUGGAUUUUGGCUUUUCCUGUCCCAGGUGACGGGCAAGCCACUCGUCGCGGAUGUUAUGUUUGAAGGCCGCGAGGGCCUCGGCAUCCGGGCAGUCGACGAUUUGGUUUUUCUUGGUUAAGAACCGUGUCCAGAAUUGUCUGGCCGAUUCGUCUGGCUGCUGAAUUAUGUGGCUUAGGUCAUCUGCAUCUGGUGGUCGCACGUACGUGCCUUGGAAGUUAUCGAGGAAUGCGGCUUCUAGGUCCUCCCAACUUCCGAUUGACUCUGCUGGCAAGCUGUUAAGCCAGUGCCGGGCUGGUCCUUUAAGUUUGAGUGGGAGAUAUUUGAUGGCGUGGAGAUCGUCUCCGCGGGCCAUGUGGAUGUGGAGGAGAUAGUCCUCGAUCCAGACCGCGGGGUCUGUUGUGCCAUCAUAAGAUUCAAUAUUGACGGGUUUAAACCCUUCUGGGAUUUGAUGAUCCAUUACCUCAUCUGUGAAGCACAGUGGGUGUGCGGCGCCUCUGUACUGGGCGAUAUCGCGACGGAGCUCAAAAGAGCUUUGUCUGUUGUGUUCGGCCCGACCGGACUUAUUGUGUCCGGGGUGACGGUGAUCGUCACGUAUCGUGGGGCGCCCACGUGAUCCAUAGAUCGAUCUUGAUUGUUUUGCCUUAUCCUCCAAUAUGUCUCGCAGGUCCGGAGUGUUCCCCUGUGGCCUUGUGCUUUUCGAGCGAUGCCGGGGUACGGGUCUAGUGAAGGGCCUUGAGGCCUCUCUGUCACGACCACGGGGUGGUCGAUCAGCCGUAUUGUCUCCUGGUGAAGCGGGAUCAUAUGCCUCCACCUCUAAUCGGGGGAGCAGCUUACGUUUGGGGUAGCUUUUGGAGGGGCGUUCGAGUUCAUGCUCUUCGGCCGCGAGGACUUCGGUCCAUCUGUCGGCUAGAAGAUCUUGAUCAGCUCUAAGCUGCUGCUGCUUUUUCUUGAGGCUGUUUGCCGUGGCCAUAAGCCUGCGUUUGAAACGCUCCUGUUCGACGGGAUCCUCAGGCACGACGAAUUCGUCGUCGUCGAGGCUUGCCUCGUCUCCGGAGGGAGGCAUAUAGUCCUCUACCUCUUCUUCGGCCGCUCUCUCAUGAAGGCUGGCAUCCCCCUCCUCCUGUGCUGGAUCUUGCCGGAGUGGGUUGUCUUCGGCGCUAUCCGGUGUAUUAUUGUCUCCGGUGCCGGAAUCCUUGUUCUUGCUAUGGCGGGAUUUAGAGCGGCGCCGCUGACGUCGGCGCUUGGGCUGUUUUUGGAGGGGUCAUCCUCCGCUAUUCCUUCAACAUUCCCAUUCAUUGGGAUAUCCACCAUGUAUAUGUCGUAUGACGAGGUGGCUUUCCAGUGCCCGGUGGGCGCUGGUUCUUGGUCGUCUCCGGCAUCGUUGUCCAUACCGUCGAUGUCCUCAGAGUCGUAAUCUAGCAUGUCGGUUAGAUCGUCAACAGUGGCUACCAAGUGGGUGGUGGGUGGGCUCUAAAUUUCUUCGUCGUCCGCAUCCCAACCGUCCUGGCCGCAGUCCGGCCAGGCCUCUCCUGAUAACGAGAGGUACUUUAGCGAACUCAACAUGUCGCCAAAAGGUGAGUGUUGAAAGAUGUCCGCCGCGGUGAACUCCAUGAUCGGCGCCCAAUCGGAUUCGAUUGGAGGGGGCGCGGGAGGUCCGGAGUCUGGCACCUCGGAGUCACGAGCUUCAUGGGGGACAAGAUCGGUGUUCGGCUCUAUCGCCGUAGAGGUUGCAGCCCCCGAGGUGGUGUCUAGCCAUCCAUCCUUGGUCUACGCAGACGACUCCGAGUCGAAGAUCGGAGCGGGUUCGAGUGCGGCCUCCAGGGCACUGUCCGGCUGCAGAGCUAAAUCAUGCCCAUCGUGACAGUACGGCACGCUCGGCUGUGGCUCGAAUCCGUCGAGGAUCAAGUCUCCGCGGAUGUCAGCCAUGAAGUUCAAACUUCCAAAUCUGACCUGACGGCCAGGGGCGUAGCCUUCGAUCUGCUCCAGCUGGCCAAGCGAAUUGGCCCGCAGUGAGAAGCCCCGAAUAUGAAGAUCUGUCCGGGGAGGAAGGUCUCACCCUGGACUGCAUCGUCGUUGAUGAUUGAAGAAGCCAUCGAGCCUAUCGGUGACGACACAGAGGAACUCUCAAUGAAAGCACCAAUGUCGGUGUCAAAACCGGCGGAUCUCGGGUAGGGGGUCCCGAACUGUGCGUCUAGGCGGAUGGUAACAGGAGACGAGGGACACGAUGUUUUUACCCAGGUUCAGGCCCUCUUGAUGGAGGUAAAACCCUACGUCCUGCUUGAUUAAUAUUGAUGAUGUGGGUUACAAGAGUAGAUCUACCACGAGAUCAAGGAGGCUAAACCCUAGAAGCUAGCCUAUGGUAUGAUUGUUGUUCGUCCUAUGGACUAAAGCCAUCCGGUUUAUAUAGACACCAGAGAGGGCUAGGGUUACACAGAGUCGGUUACAAUGGUAGGAGAUCUACAUAUCCGUAUCGCCAAGCUUGCCUUCCACGCCAAGGAAAGUCCCAUCCAGACAUGGGAUGAAGUCUUCAAUCUUGUAUCUUCAUAGUCUUGGAGUCCGGCCGAUGAUGGUAGUUUGGCUAUCCGGACACCCCCUAGUCCGGGACUCCCUCACCAACCCAGACACGGGACGAAGUCUUCAAUCUUGUAUCUUCACAGUCCAACAGUUCGACACAAGUACAUAGUCCGGCUGUCCGAGGACCCCCUAAUCCAGGACUCCCUCAGUAGCCUAUGAACCAGGCUUCAAUGACGAUGAGUCCGGUGCACAGAUUGUCUUCGACAUUGCAAGGUGGGUUCUUCUCCAAAUCCCUGAGUACCUGUUGUAACAAGCAGUGUCCGACUUCCCAUUAAUGUUGCACUCCUCGGCUUCUGUACCUUAAUAAUGGUGGUCCCCAUGUGUCGAGCGAAUGUGAGAAGUCGGGGCAUUUUUACAUUUGCCACCCUGACUAUGUAAGUAAAUCUUCUAUUUAAAGAGACGAGGAUCCUCAGAUCCAAAUCACACCAUCUUUCCCACGCGAGGAUUCAACAGAGCGCGCCCGAAAAAACCAUCCCAUCAUGGCCGGCCGCCGCAGCUCCUCCUCUCACUCCCAUAGCGCUAAGCCAGGUGAUUGGGUGAAGUGCACCGUAUUCCACGGCCAGUUGGUGGAGUUGCAUACCCAAGGGUUCCUCCCGCGUGCAUAUCUUGUCCCCGUCCGAGCCGGAUCAGCCACUUACGAUGGCAGGGAGCAAGCAGAGAGUUUCCCCAACCCAUCCAGGGGGGAGCGUGUAUGCCUUGCCCCUUACUUGCUGAGGGGCCUCAGAUUUCCAAUCCAUCCGUUCCUCCAUGGGCUCCUGGAGUACUACGGCCUCCAGCUGCACAACUUCACUCCUGCCUCCAUACUGCACAUUGUAGGUUAUGUCACCCUCUGUGAGCUAUUUCUGGGCCGUGAAGCUCAUUUCGAGCUAUGGAGGAGGCUAUUCUGCCUCGUCCCUCGCAAUCAGGAGGGAUCAAUAUACCAAGUGGGUGGAGCCGAAAUAUGGCGCAUCACCGGGACCGGAUACCUAUCCGACACUCUGAAGAAGACAUCCGAAGACUGACCUUCGAAGUGGUUUUAUAUAGAGGACGUCCCUUCCGGACCCUAUCUGGAUGGGUCUUCCCGAGUUCACCAAUGCCCCACUAAAGAAACGCCGCAGCUGGCGUCCCCGGAGCCCCCAGGAGGAAGAUAGCAGAGAGGUCCUUUAUGUGAUGGGCAGGAUAAAAACGCUGGCCAAAUCCGGAUUGACAAUAAUUGAGGUUAUGUCAAUAUGCAUAAUGCGGGGGGUGCAGUCACUCCAGCAUCGAGGGCGUCCCAUGUGGUAUUUUAAUGGAGAAGACGAUGCCACCCGUUGCGGUCGGAAAGGUCCGUACUCCGCCACCGCCCUGGCAAAAAUAUUAUCCGAUUUGUAUAAAGGAGAAGAAGAGGAGUUCAUCCGCAUUAAGCCACGGGAUGGGUUUUCCAUGUACAACCCCCUAGCUGGGUGAGCUGCUAUCUUUUACUCAACUCUAUUCAUUCCCGCAUUCUUUCAUCAUAAAUAUUUACCUUGCUAGUUCAUAGCAGGAACUGCAAAAAUCUGUGAGGGAGGUUCACAGCCCGCCUCCACAGCCAGAGGACCACAGUCGGGCCCUCGACCCCGGACUUGAAGAAGAUCCAGACAUAUUUGUGGAGCUCGUCAACAUGAUGUUUUACCAGGCAAGCUGUGACAACGGCUUGGUGGCCAUCAUAGCCGACUAUCCUGGCCUACUCCCUGCAUCAUAUGUAAGUAAAACCAGAGUCCUAAUUUCCGAGAAGGAUCCCUUCUUUACGCCUUACCCACCGCACACGUAUUGCGCUUUAUAGGGAAGGCCAACGGGCGCCGUGCCGAACCCGUGGCGACUCACCAACAAGGGGCACCCAAGAUGGGUAGGCUUAAAAGGAAGGAGGUCAGGACCGAGACGCCAUCGCAGAGGUAUGAUUUAAAACAUGCUUCAUGAUUAUCGUCUUUGAGAUAUAACAAUGUCCAUUGUCCCCCGGCAGAAAAAGUAUGCACUAGACUGUAUCCGGAGAUCCUGCCGGCCACGCCUCCACAGGCCGGAUUCUAGAACCGGACUCAAGGGUGGAGGCUAACAUGGGGACAACUCCGGAAGGUCCCUGUCGGUGUCAAAACCGGCGGAUCUCGGGUAGGGGGUCCCGAACUAUGCGUCUAGGCGGAUGGUAACAGGAGACGAGGGACACGAUGUUUUUACCCAGGUUUGGUCCCUCUUGAUGGAGGUAAAACCCUACGUCCUGCUUGAUUAAUAUUGAUGAUGUGGGUUACAAGAGUAGAUCUACCACGAGAUCAAGGAGGCUAAACCCUAGAAGCUAGCCUAUGGUAUGAUUGUUGUUCGUCCUAUGGACUAAAGCCAUCUGGCUUAUAUAGACACCGGAGAGGGCUAGGGUUACACAGAGUCGGUUACAAUGGUAGGAGAUCUACAUAUCCGUAUCGCCAAGCUUGCCUUCCACGCCAAGGAAAGUCCCAUCCGGACAUGGGACGAAGUCUUCAAUCUUGCAUCUUCAUAGUCUUGGAGUCCGGCCGAUGAUGGUAGUUUGGCUAUUCGGACACCCCCUAGUCCGGGACUCCCUCAGUAGCCCCUGAACCAGGCUUCAAUGACGACGAGUUCGGCGCGCAUGUUGUCUUCGGCAUUGCAAGGCGGGUUCCUCCUCCGAAUAAUUUAUAGAAGAUUGUGAACACAAGGAUAGUGUCCGGCUCUGCAAAAUAAAUUCCACAUACAACCGUAGAGAGAAUAAUAUUACACAAGUUCAAUCUGCUGACGUAUUUUGUGGCGUAACGUCACACCACCACCAAGCCUUCAAAUUGUUUUUAUUGUUCCAUCUCAGCUCGUUUAGCGAGGCGGUUUCCUUGGCACAUCUUGUCGAAGCAGAGAUCGUGUUCCCCUUAUUCCGGGAUUCGCAUCAAUACGGACGUGGGUAACCCAACCGCGCCAUUGAUUGCAGCGCUUUGGAGAUAAGCGAGUUUUAUCAGGCCGGUGGGGACGCAUGUUUCCGUCCGCCCAUAUAAGGGGAUAAAGAUCCAACCUUUUUUACCUGCGCCUUCUUCCUCCUUGGCUUAUCCAUCUCUGCGAACUCGAGCUCUAGCGCCCAAGCCCGCACAUCUCACCUCAACCUUCUCCAAAUAUGUCCGGAGCGGGAGGCAAGUGGAUGGCCUCCUCCGUCACGGAGGGGCAUAUCCAGAAGCUGCGCAACGCCGGAUACUUGUCCAGCGACAUCGCGCAUCGGCUCGCUAACGAGGGAGAGCUCAUCCCCACCCCUAGGCCCCAUGAGAGGGUAGUAUUCCUUCCCCAUUUCCUCCGCGGACUGGCCUUCCCACUUCAUCCCUUUGUUCGGGCGAUCAUGUUCUACUGCGGCCUAGAUUACCAUGAUCUGGCCCCGAAUUUUAUCCUCAACAUCUCGGCGUUUAUCGUCGUGUGCGAGGCCUUCCUCUGCAUCCGGCCCCACUUCGGCUUGUGGCUCAAGACCUUCAGUGUCAAGCCGAAGGUUGUGAAGGGCAGCCAAGCGGAGUGCGGAGGCGCCAUGGUGGGCAGGAUGUCCCACGUUACGUGGCUGGAGGGUACUUUCGUGGAAACCAUUAAGGGGUGGCAAUCGGGGUGGUUCUACAUCACUGAGCCGCGUGACCCUGAUUGGGCAGCGGCCCCCGAAUUUAGAUCCGGUAUCCCUACAUGGCUCACCUCCUGGAAAGAGAGUGGCCGGAUCUGUGGGGAUUCGGAGGAGCUGACCGGACUCCAAGCCUGUAUCCAGAACCUGGUGGACAAGAAGUUCAAGCUUGUCAACGUAGUCCAGGUCAUGCUCAUCCGCCGGAUUCUCCCGUGCCAACGACGGGGCUUCAACAUGUGGGAGUUUGAUCCGGCGCAGCACCAAACUUUGAAUGGGCUCUUCGACACUACGUACGAAGAGGUCUGGAAGGUGCUGUUCAAGGGUGCCGAGGCUCCCGCAUCCGCUACCGAAGAUUGCGGAUUCAGCUCGCAGCGUCCAGCUGACGAGGUGAGUGAUAUUGUCCUUUAUGGGACGCUUGUUAUUCAUAGUUUGACUCUAUGCGGGAUCUAAACUCCCUUUCCUUUGAUAGGACUGGCUGAAGAAGGCCGCACAGGCUAUCUGUCUGGCCCCAUUGCCAGAGGACCCAGCUGACGCCCGCCUAACGGGACUGCUGGCUCCGGCACCCCACGUGGUGCCGGAGAAGAAGGCCAAGAAGAAGGCCACGGGGACUCCGAAGAGUUCCCGUUUUCAGGUGCUAUCGGACGAUGAAUCCGAGGCCGACUCCUCCCACCAAGGCGAGGAGGAGAAGAAGAAAGCCUCUCCCCUAGCGGGGGGAGGGAAGAAAAGGAAGGCCUCCUCAACAAGGGAGGCCGAAGGGUCCAAGAGGGGAAAAACUCUUCCCCCGGACUGUUCCGCCAGUGCCAGUGACGACGACGAGGACUGGCCUCCAAGGGCCAAGCCUCUGGUGAGAUCGUAAGUAUCCGGACUCCCGAAUAACUUCAAGGUUUUCGUUUUCCGCCACAUUAUGUCUUUCUAAUGCCGCAUACAACCCUGCAGUCCGCCUAAGGAUGAUCUCCCCACUUCGUCGAGCGGGUCCUUAGGGCGUCAGAUAUGUAUUCUCUUCGGACUGCCUCCACCCCCCGUGAUGCGGACGAUGCCGAGGUGGGAUCCCAGGAAGGGACCCACCAGGAGGAGAGGGCCCCGGAGGUGUCGCAGGACAACCUCCCGGACUUUGCACCGGACUUAGCCCCGGAACCCAUAGUGGCUCCGGAGUCCAGCGGGCGAUCCCUUCGUAAGAAGGGCAAGACCGCGACGCCGGCUGCCUCCGUCCAACCGGAGGUGCCGGAUAAUUUGCUAGAGGCGCUCAAUAGCGCCUCUUUUAAAGAGGAACACCGCACUGUUAUGAGUGCGGUGAUUCAGAAAGUUCAGCUCGCCAAGAACGGGCUGACUGAAGCCUGCAGCAGCCUUCUAACAGGCUUUGAGGUAAGAAUUUCAAUAUAUGUAAAAUGGUACUGCAUAGACAGUAGCCCCUGAUGCUCGGUUCGGUGUUCGGAAAGAAAAGCUGGACUGAGGAUCUUUAGAAAGAUAAACGUAGGAGUCAUGAAAAUAUGUCAAUAUGGGAUUGCAGGCUGUGCUCCUGACCUCUGCCGCACUGACUGCGGAGGUCAAAACUUUGAAGGAAAACCUCAAGCGGUCCGAGAACGAGCUCGGCCAUGCCAAGAAGCAGCUCGAGGAAAAAGAAGGUGAGUAAUACCUUAUGAAAAUUGUACCUUACAGAAAAGGAUUUGGUUGCAAGAAAAAUGACAAGGAUAACUGGGGUAUUGCAGGGGCCUCUAACGAGGUGGCGACCCUGAAGGAGGCGGUGGCCGUGGCCGAACGCAAUGCGGCUGCGGAGCGCAUUGAGCAAGAGAAACAGGAGGCGCGGGUGGCGGAGGUACAACAAGAGCUCCAGGAUCUCGUGAGGAAACAUGAGAGCCUGGAGCGUGACUCAAAGACUCGAGAGUCUGAGCUUGCAAAGGCUCUUGAGAAUGCCAAAGCCGCUAAGGCCGAAGCCUACAAGGCCCUCCAGGAGAUCGAGGCGGUAAAGAAAAUAGCAGCGAGUAAGGCAUUUUUCAUGCAAAGUAAGCAUGUGAGUGUUAAUUACCUGUCGCUUACCGGAAUUCGGAGCUCUCCAGGAGCGUUCGCAGAUCUUCCUCGCAGUGUGUCCGAUGCUUCCGCAUUUUACCGGGCCGAGGAGGGGAGCUCGACGGAGAAGGUCUUCUGGUCUCAGUAUGCUGAGGCCGAACAUCCGGUGCCCCUUAGCGACCAGCUGAAGCAGCUGGUCGAGCUCCACAAGGCGGCCGAACAAGCCAUGAAGGGCCUCAUAGUUCGGCUGUGGCCUAAGGAGGCCAUGCCUGGGAGCUACUUCGGCCUGGUGUGGCGGCUGGUGGAUGCGUGCCUAUGGGUUGAAGUCAUCAAGCACUCCGCCUGUAUUGAAGGUGCCCAUCGGGCCCUUGCCCGCGCAAAGGUGCACUGGGGCAAGAUGGAUGCCCAGAAGCUUGUGACGGACCCACCACCAGAGGGCAAGGAGCAUCGCACGCCCGAGAUGUAUUAUAGGAGUGUGCUGAAGGGUGCCCGCAUUAUUGCGGGUGAGUGCUCCAAAGAAGAAGUUUUUGAGUAGACUCGCGUUUUGUUAUCCCGUGCGCUGAAAACUAAGUUCAUAUGCGCGAAGCAACGCUUGUUAAUUUAAAAUAUUACCUUCUGUGCGGCUGUUUAUCAAAUCUGAGAGAUGGCAAGUCAUCGGCUUCAGCCCCCAUGCCACGAGUGCUGGGGUGUUCGGGAUAAAUUUGGGCACUCUUGUUCCCAUAUUUGGGUCCAUCGAGGGAGGCGCUCAACACAACGAACAAGGCAACCGGACUUAUAAUGCUUGAACACUCUCACUUAGCCAUAGAAUUCUAUAAUUUUAAAUUUCGGCGAAGCCCCUAGUUUUCGGAAGGCCGAAUUUGGGGCGCUAUCCACGCCUCGGCCGGACGGAAUCCGGCUCCUCGCUCGAAGCGGCAUAAGUCUUUAGGGACUCGCAAAGAACCUCUCGAACAGCGACCAGCUCUCGCCUCAUCAUGAUGGUCAGUUUUAGCUUUCUCCACUGAGGCGUUAACCCAGCUAAACUGGGGUGCAAUCGUAGUGGUUCUCCCAGUGCUUACUUAGCCGAUAAAACUGAACGUAAGGUACCAAAACAUGGGAGCCGGGCAAACCCAACUAUUGACCCAAGAACAUGAUUCGGAGCCGAUGCAUAUAAUGCUAUAAGUUCGGGGUGCCACACUUGUGAAAGUGUUCAGACUUAUCACACCAUAACGCGGGAAACAUAAGCCCCUGGUGUAUUUAGCCGUACCAAAAUGUACGGAUGCAACAUGUCAUAGAUGAACUUAUGUGUAAGAAAGAAAUGCAAUUGGAAGCAAAAAUGUGCUGCAUUGCUUUAUUCAAAUAAAAACUGCUGUAAGUGCAGGACGAUACAAGUGGUGCGGUAAGCAAGGGAUGGGACUGUUUAACAUGUCCCCCUCCAGGGGUAGGCUACGGAAUAAUGCAUAAAACAGGUUUAAUGCUCAUAAUGGAGACCACCUGGAUUUUCGUUGUAGCCUUUCUCCUUCCCUGGAUGUUGUAUCGUGGGUUCGGCAUGUCUGCUGCCGGACAGGGCCUCUGACGAACGGAGUCCUGUAGGUAAAAUAUAAAAGGAAAAGGAAAAGAAACGACACACUUAAGAGCCCCUAGGGCGGUUGAGCCGCAGUUUGGGCUUAUCGUGGUCGAGCCCCUUGCCCCAUGCCCAUGGUAUCUUCAGAGCGUAAUGGAGUACGCGAAGGGUCUGUCUUAAUGUUUUACAGGGGCUGGGGUUGGGGCCGCACUGCUACGCGUGCUCGGAACGUGCCAGGUGGUCGUGUUGUAGGUUACUCCAGGCACGCUUAGCUGUGUCCGGCCGCUUGGCAGUCGGACUCGAGAAUUGCCUAAAAAGGCUGCUUUGUACUUCUGCCGCGAGAGCCGCUGUAUGUUCCUCCGUUCGGAGGGAGCGUUCAGUGUUUCCAUUGACCGUGAUGACUCCUCUAGGGCCUGGCAUCUUGAGCUUGAGGUAUGCGUAGUGCGGCACCGCGUUGAACUUUGCGAACGUGGUACGUCCGAGCAAGGCAUGAUAGCCGCUGCGGAAUGGGACUAUGUCGAAGAUUAACUCCUCGCUUCGGAAGUUAUCCGGGGAUCUGAAGACCACUUCCAGUGUAACUGAGCCUGUACAAUUGGCUUCUACACCUGGUAUGACGCCUUUAAAGGUUGUCUUGGUAGGUUUAAUCCUUGAGGGGUCUAUGCCCAUUUUGCACACCGUGUCCUGAUAAAGCAGGUUUUGGCUGCUGCCGCCGUCCAUCAGGACUCUGGUAAGAUGAAAUCCAUCGACGAUUGGGUCUAGAACCAAUGCGGUGAACCCACCAUGGCGAAUGCUGGUGGGGUGGUACCUUCGGUCAAAGGUGAUCGGGCAAGAGGACCAUGGAUUGAACUUCGGGGCAACUGGCUCCAUCGCGUAUACAUCCCUGAGUGCAGGCUUCCGCUCCCUUCUGGGUAUGUGCGUGGCAUAUAUCAUGUUCACCGUCCGCACCUGUGGGGGGAAACCCUUCUAUCCUCUAUUGUUCGGCGGUCGGGUCUCUUCCUCAUCGUCGCUAUGUAGCCCCUUGUCGCUGUUUUCGGCAAUUAACUUGCCUGCCUGCUUGAACACCCAACAGUCCCUAUUGGUGUGGUUAGCUGGAUUUUCAGGGGUGCCAUGUAUCUGGCACAAGCGGUCGAGAAUCCGGUCCAAAUUGGACGGACCCUGAGUUGUUCUUUUGAAUGGAUUUUUCCGUUGACCGGGUUUAGAGCCUCUGAAUCUGGCAUUGACUGCCGUAUCCUCACUGUUAUCGCCGUUAAUGCGACGUUUGUUUUUGUUGCGACGCGACCUGCCAGUACGGUCCUUGAUAUCCGGACUGCCAGAAUUUUUGUUGAGGUUGUUGCUGCAUGCUAGCCAGCUGUCCUCACCCGCACAGAAGCGGGUCAUGAGUGAUGUAAGGGCUGCCAUGGAUUUUGGCUUUUCUUGUCCCAGGUGCCGGGCAAGCCACUCGUCGCGGAUGUUAUGUUUGAAGGCCGUGAGGGCCUCGGCAUCCGGACAGUCGACGAUUUGGUUUUUCUUGGUUAAGAACCGUGUCCAGAAUUGUCUGGCCGAUUCAUCUGCCUGCUGAAUUAUGUGGCUUAGGUCAUCUGCAUCUGGUGGUCGCACGUAUGUGCCUUGGAAGUUAUCGAGGAAUGCGGCUUCCAGGUCCUCCCAACUCCCGAUUGACUCUGCUGGCAAGCUGUUAAGCCAGUGCCAGGCUGGUCCUUUAAGUUUGAGUGGGAGAUAUUUGAUGGCGUGGAGAUCGUCUCCGUGGGCCAUGUGGAUGUGGAGGAGAUAGUCCUCGAUCCAGACCGCGGGGUCUGUUGUGCCAUCAUAAGAUUCAAUAUUGACAGGUUUAAACCCUUCUGGGAUUUGAUGAUCAUUUACCUCAUCUGUGAAGCAUAGUGGGUGUGCGGCGCCUCUGUACUGGGCGAUAUCGCGAUGGAGCUCAAAAGAGCUUUGUCUGUUGUGUUCGGCCCGGCCGGACUUACUGUGUCCGGGGUGACGGUGAUCGUCACGUAUCGUGGGGCGCCCACAUGAUCCAUAGGUCGAUCUUGAUUGUCUUGCCUUAUCCUCCAAUAUUUCUCGCAGGUCCGGAGUGUUCCCCUGUGGCCUUGUGCUUUUCGAGCGAUGCCGGGGUACGGGUCUAGUGAAGGGCCUGGAGGCCUCUCUGUCGUGACCACGGGGUGGUCGAUCAGCCGUAUUGUCUCCUGGUGAAGCGGGAUCAUAUGCCUCCACCUCUAAUCGGGGGAGCAGCUUACAUUUGGGGUAGCUUUUGGAGGGGCGUUCGAGUUCAUGCUCUUCGGCCGCGAGGACUUUGGUCCAUCUGUCGGCUAGCAGAUCUUGAUCAGCUCUAAGCUGCUGCUGCUUUUUCUUGAGGCUGUUUGCCGUGGCCAUAAGCCUGCGUUUGAAACGCUCCUGUUCGACGAGAUCCUCAGGCACGACGAAUUCGUCGUCGUCGAGGCUUGCCUCGUCUCUGGAGGGAGGCAUAUAGUCCUCUACCUCUUCUUCAGCCGCUCUCUCAUGAGGUCUGGCGUCCCCCUCCUCCUGUGCUGGAUCUUUCUGGAGUGGGUUGUCUUCGGCGCUAUCCGGUGUAUUAUUGUCUCCGGUGCCGGAAUCCUCAUUCUUGCUAUGGCGGGAUUUAGAGCGGCGCCGCUGACGCCGACGCUUGGGCUGUUUCUUGGAGGGGUCAUCCUCCGCUAUUCCUUCGCUAUUCCCAUCCUUUGGGAUAUCCACCACGUAUAUGUCGUAUGAAGAGGUGGCUUUCCAGUGCCCGGUGGGCGCUGGUUCUUGGUCGUCUCCGUCAUCGUCGUCCAUACCGUCGAUGUCCUCAGAGUCAUAAUCUAGCAUGUCGGUUAGAUCAUCGACAGUGGCUACCAAGUGGGUGGUGGGUGGGCUCUGAAUUUCUUUGUCGUCCGCAUCCCAACCGUCCUGGCCGCAGUCCGGCCAGGCCUCUCCUGAUAACGAGAGGUACUUUAGCGAACUCAAGAUGUCAUGAAAAGGUGAGUGUUGAAAGAUGUCCGCCGCGGUGAACUCCAAGAUCGGCGCCCAAUCGGAUUCGACUGGAGGGGGCGCGGGAUGUCUGGAGUCCGGCAAGGAGUCCGGCACCUCGGAGUCACGAGCUUUAUGGGGGACAAGAUCGAUGUUCGGCUCUAUCGCCGUAGAGGUUGCAGCCCCCGAGGUGGUGUCUAGCCAUCCAUCCUUGGUCUGCGCAGCCGGCUCCGAGUCGAAGAUCGGAGCGGGUUCGAGUGCGGCCUCCAGGGUACUGUCCGGCUGCAGAGCUAAAUCAUGCCCAUCGUGACAGUACGGCACGCUCGGCUGUGGCUCGAAUCCGUCGAGGAUCAAGUCCCCGCGGAUGUCAGCCGUGAAGUUCAAACUUCCAAAUCUGACCUGACGGCCAGGGGCAUAGCCUUCGAUCUGCUCCAGCUGGCCAAGCGAAUUGGCCCGCAGUGCGAAGCCGCCGAAUAUGAAGAUCUGUCCGAGGAGGAAGGUCUCACCCUGGACUGCAUCGUCGUUGAUGAUCGAAGAAGCCAUCGAGCCUAUCGGUGACGACACAUAGGAACUCUCAAUGAAAGCACCAAUGUCGGUGUCAAAACCGGCGGAUCUCGGGUAGGGGGUCCCGAACUGUGCGUCUAGGCGGAUGGUAACAGGAGACGAGGGACAUGAUGUUUUUACCCAGGUUCGGGCCCUCUUGAUGGAGGUAAAACCCUACGUCCUGCUUGAUUAAUAUUGAUGAUGUGGGUUACAAGAGUAGAUCUACCACGAGAUCAAGGAGGCUAAACCCUAGAAGCUAGCCUAUGGUAUGAUUGUUGUUCGUCCUAUGGACUAAAGCCAUCCGGUUUAUAUAGACACCGGAGAGGGCUAGGGUUAAACAGAGUCGGUUACAAUGGUAGGAGAUCUACAUAUCCGUAUCGCCAAGCUUGCCUUCCACGCCAAGGAAAGUCCCAUCCGGACAUGGGACGAAGUCUUCAAUCUUGUAUCCUCAUAGUCUUGGAGUCCGACCGAUGAUGGUAGUUCGGCUAUCCGGACACCCCCUAGUCCGAGACUCCCUCAGCCCCCCUACAGAGGAUGCGGAUAGAAUAUCCGCUACCAAUUCCGAAGUGGAAAGCGCUAUGAAUCACUGGCAUCGACGGGCCGUACUCUGCGACCCUAACUUCUCCGAAGAGGCGCUCAAUGCCUUCAACUCGGGAGACACGUACAUCUGAGCUGCUCAAGGUGGGCUUGCUAGAGCCACAGACCAGUAUUUAAAGGAUAUACGGGUAAGAAAAAUCUAAUAAUUAUGUAAUCAGUAGCUCCUGAGACUUGAAACAAUUGGCACAACUUAUUUAAGGAUCAUUGUAUGAAUAGGUUCUUACAGAGAAGAACACCCAUUUGUCUCAAGAGCUGGAGCAGUGCAAAGCCCAGCUGAGGGCCGCAGUUGCCGGAAUGGAGGAAUCCAAGAAGGCCUCAUCUGGUAAUACUUGUCUCGAUAAAAAAGAAUGUAAGUACGUGUACCAGUUAGUAUUUGACAUGCUUGCGAAUCUAACAAUAGAUUCUGCAGGCAAUCCCGGAGUGGAUCCGGAGAUUGUACAAGAGGAUGAGCAAUGAGCUCAAUGACAGCUAGAGGCUGGCGAGCGCGUGCUUACACGGGUUAGGCGAGAGAAAAACGAUCUCCAGGAUGCCAAUACCCGGCUGGGCAUUGAAUUGGAAGAUGUUCGGGCCCAGCUUGCUGACUCCGUGAAGGAGAAUAAGAGGCUUCGACGCAGCAUUUUUAGUAUGUGCUCAAACGAACCUUUAUAUAGUUCGGCGAAGAAACGGGCUAAUAGAGUUAUGUCUGUAGGUAUGCUGACGGGUAGUCCCGAAGAGGAGAUGCUCGGCUCCGCAGGCGAUCUUCUGCAAGAGCUUUCACAACUGCAUGAACAAGUUCGGCAAGUGAUGCAGGGUAUUGCCCAUGCCUUGUGGCCGUCCGCCUCCCUGCCAGGAAGCAUGGGGGAGCUUGUAGAGCUGGUCAAGGGAGCGCGGCGGUGCUUCCGAUUAUGGAAGAUAUCGGCCUACCGACAAGGUGCGAGGGAAGCCUGGGCCAUGGUGAAAAUGCGGUACACCAAGGUUUAUCCGAAUCACAUGGCCCUGGUCGGACCUAUAGGGUCAGAUGGGAAAGAGAUUCCCGUUAGUCUGGUAUAUGACCAGGUAGGAUUAGCCGCAAAGUAUUCCCAAUAGGAUUGUAGGCUAGACAGCCUGUUGGAUGGUAUUGAAGAAGAAUUUAGCCAGUCUAAGUGACUGUGUACUUCAAUUGACAUAUUUGUCCCUAGCCGGAUUGUAAAUCAUUUGUCAUGGCGGACCUUUUCGCUUCAAUCUGCGGACCCGACAGUCCGGAGUGUAUCCGAAUACCCGCUCAGUUAUGUAAACCGGGGUACGCGUGGAAACCAGGCGUAGGGGUCAUAAGUGCUUGAACAGACAAGUACCCAACUAGCUAUGUUAUAUUACAUGGAUAGUAAGAAACAUCUUUCAGGGAGAAUAGUUCCGUUAAGGGUUCCUUUCCCUAGCUACGCAUGCAUUAAUGUGCAUGUCCGAACGGCGAACAGAGACGCAGGAUAUGAAACAUCUGGGGGUUUAUAUUGUAAUAGGUAAGAAACAUCUUUUGUUCGCCGACCGAAUAUUCCCUUAAGAAUGCUAGCUUUCGGCUUCACCCAGUCUGAGGUACAUGUCCGGCAGACCCGACAGUAACAAUCACAGAGGUGCUCCCCUUAUGCCCUAGACAAACUAACGAGAACGUAGGGCAUAAACACAGGAGCCAGGCAACCCAACUUGGCCAAAACUUAAGUCAUAUCGAUGCAUAUAAUGGCGAACAAAAGGUAUAUCUGGGAAAGUGACACAUAUGUAGUGGGCCUAAAGCCCGGAAGACAAUUAUAUUAAGCUUCUGUAUAAGAAGCCCCCAGGUAUAAGGAGCGCACAUAGCGCGUCAAGAUUGUGUAGUAGAGUCACACUCGAAGCUUUUUAGGGCCAUAAAAAAGAAAGAAAGAAAGAGGAUAUAAAAAAGGGCGGAGGUAAGGAGACGAACACAGAGUUCGGCGCUAGGCGUAGAAUCUUCGUAGUCUGGCCGCGUUCCAUGGAUUCGGCUUGAGUCGAUUAUCUGAUGCAUCACGCAGGUGGUACGCUCCUCUGGUGAGAACUUUAUUAAUGAUGAAGGGACCCUCCCACUUGGGCUUGAGCUUGUCCUUUUUCUUCUCCGGUAGGUGUAGAACGAGUUCGCCAACGUUAUAAGUUUUGGCCCGUACUUCUCUGCUUUGAUACCUUCGAGCAUGUUGCUGAUAGAAUGCGGAACGGGCUUUGGCGACAUCGCGCUCCUCCUCCAGGGCAUCUAGACUGUCCUGCCGAUCAAGCUCGGCUUCUCUCUCUUCAUACAUGCGCACUCGGGGUGAGUCAUGAAUGAUAUCUCAGGGCAAUACCGCCUCUGCGCCAUACACCAUGAAGAAUGCUGUGUAUCCGGUAGUGUGAUUCGGCGUGGUCCGCAGUCCCCAUAGUAUGGAGUCGAGCUCCUCAACCCAGUGCGUAUCUGAUUCCUUCAAGGAUCGCACUAGUCUGGGUUUUAUGCCGCUCAUAAUAAGACCAUUUGCUCGUUCGACUUGACCAUUUGUUUAGGGGUGAUAGACGGAGGCGUAAUCGAGCUUAAUGCCCAUGUCGCCGCACCAAGUUUUCACCUUGCCGGCUGUGAAGUUGGAGCCAUUAUCGGUGAUGAUGCUGUGGGGGACACCGUAACGGUGUACAACCCCUGAUAUGAAGUCUAUCACUGGUCUGGAUUCGUCCGUUUUAACCGGUUUGGCCUCUAUCCAUUUGGUGAAUUUAUCUACCAUGACCAAUAGGUAGUUUUUCUUAUGGCUUUCUCCUUUAAGGGGUCCGACCAUAUCGAGCCCCCAGACCGCAAAGGGCCAAGUUAUGGGGAUUGUUUGGAGAGCCGUAGGUGGCAUAUGGCUUUGGUUUGCGAAAAGCUGGCAACCGACACAAUGUUGGAUGAGGUCCUGUGCGUCUGCUUGGGCUGUCGGCCAGUAGAAACCUAUACGGAAGGGCUUGCUUACAAGGGCCCGAGCUGCGGCAUGGUGGCCGCCGAGUCCAACAUGAAUUUAGGCUAAGAGCUGCCGCCCUUCCUCUUCAGAGAUGCAUCUUUGGAGUACUCCGGUAGCGCUUUUCUUAUAAAGCUCUCCCUCGUGGACCUUGUAGGUUUUAGAGCACCGCACAAUGCAAUGUGCCUCAUUUUGGUCCUCAGGGAGUUCUUGCCUAUUUAGGUAGGCUAAGAAGGGUUCUGUCCACGGGGCGAUGAUAGCCAUGAUCACGUGGGUCGAAGGUGUUAUUUCGGUGGUGGAGCCUCCGAUUAUGUCAGUGUGUUCGGGAUCUGGGGUUGUGGUCGGAUCCGGACUAGUAUUGCCGGUCUCCCCUUGGCACACCACGGAUGGCUUGAACAGCCUUUCCAAGAAGAUAUUAGGUGGGACAGGGUCGCGCUUAGCACCAAUGCGGGCGAGGAUUUCCGCCGUUUGAUUGUUUUCUCGGACCACAUGAUGGAAUUCGAGCCCCUCGAAUCGAGCUGACAUCUUGAGGAUGGCAUUGCGGUAAGCCGCCAUUUUCGAGUCCUUGGCGUCAAAGUCUCCAUUUAUUUGAGAUAUUGCGAGGUUCGAAUCCCCACGCACCUCUAGGCAUUGAAUGCCCAAGGAGACCGCCAUCCGAAGACCAUGCAAUAGAGCCUCGUAUUCGGCUGCAUUAUUGGAGUCUGUGUAUAGUAUUUGGAGUAUGUAUUGGACUGCAUCUCCGGUGGGGGAUGUCAGGACAACGCCCGCUCCCAGACCAGCCAGCACCUUAGAGCCGUCAAAGUGCAUGAUCCAAUUAGUGUAUACGCCAUCCUCUUUAGGGAGUUCGGCUUCUGUCCAUUCGGCGAUGAAGUCAGCCAGUACUUGCAACUUAAUGGCUCCCCAUGGUUUACAUAUAAUGUCGAACGGGAGGAGCUCGAUGGCCCACUUAGCAAUCCGGCCCGUGGCAUCGCGGUUAUUUAUUAUAUCGUUGAGUGGUACUUCCGAGGCCACCGUGAUUGAACACUCUUGAAAGUAGUGUCGUAGUUUCCGGGAUGCCAUGAAGACCGCGUAUGCUAUCUUUUGAUAAUUUGGGUACCAUGACUUGCAUGGUGUGAGGACAAUGGAUACGUAGUAUACCGGCUUUUUAAGCGGGAACUUAUGUCCGUCCUCCUCUCAUUCGACGACCAACACUGCCAUUACAACUUGGUGCGUUGUAGCUAUAUAUAACAGCAUGGGUUCGCUGAUGUUUGGUGCAGCCAGGAUUGGAUUGCUGGCCAAGAGGGCCUUUAUUUCUUCCAGUCUGACCGUAGCCGCAUCCGUCCACUCGAAGUGUUCGGUGCGUCGAAGAAGGCGAUAGAGGGGUAGUGCCUUUUCUCCCAAUUGGGAAAUAAAGCGGCUUAAGGCAGCCGCACAUCCAGUUAAUUUCUGGAUUUGCUUGAGGUCUGUUGGGGUAGCCAACUGUGACAGAGCUCGAAUUUUAGCCGAAUUUGCUUGAAUUCCUCUAUUGGAAACUAAGAAGCCUAGGAGCUUUCCGGCAGGAAUGCCGAAAACGCAUUUUUCCAGAUUGAGCUGAAGGAAAUAUGCCCUAGAGGCAAUAAUAAAGUUAUUAUUUAUUUCCUCAUAUCAUGAUAAAUGUUUAUUAUUCAUGCUAGAAUUGUAUUAACCGGAAACAUAAUACAUGUGUGAAUACAUAGACAAACUUAAUGUCACUAGUAUGCCUCUACUUGACUAGCUCAUUAAUCAAUGAUGGUUAUGUUUCCUAACCAUAGACAUGUGUUGUCAUUUGAUUAACGGGAUCACAUCAUUAGGAGAAUGAUGUGAUUGACUUGACCCAUUCCAUUAGCCUAGCACUUGAUCGUUUAGUAUGUUGCUAUUGCUUUCUUCAUGACAUAUACAAAGUUCCUACAACUAUGAGAUUAUGCAACUCCCGUUUACCGGAAGAACACUUUGUGUGCUACCAAACGUCACAACGUAACUGGGUGAUUAUAAAGGAGCUCUACAGGUGUCUCCGAAGGUACAUGUUGGGUUGGCGUAUUUCGAGAUUAGGAUUUGUCACUCCGAUUGUCGGAGAGGUAUCUCUGGGCCCUCUCGGUAAUGCACAUCACUAUAAGCCUUGCAAGCAAUGUAGCUAAUGAGUUAGUUACAGAAUGAUGCAUUACGUAACGAGUAAAGAGACUUGCCGGUAACGAGAUUGAACUAGGUAUUGGAUACCGACGAUCGAAUCUCGGGCAAGUAACAUACCGAUGACAAAGGGAACAACGUAUGUUGUUAUGCGGUUUGACUGAUAAAGAUCUUUGUAGAAUAUGUAGGAGCCAAUAUGAGCAUCUAGGUUCCGCUAUUGGUUAUUGACCGGAAACAGUUCUAGGUCAUGUCUACAUAGUUCUCGAACCCGUAGGGUCCGCACGCUUAAUGUUACGAUGACCGUUUUAUUAUGAGUUUAUAAGUUUUGAUGUACCGAAGAUUGCUCGGAGUCCCGGAUGUGAUCACGGACAUGACGAGGAGUCUCGAAAUGGUCGAGACAUAAAGAUUGAUAUAUUGGAAGCCUAUAUUUGGAUAUUGGAAACGUUCUGGGUGAAAUCGGAAUUUUACCGGAGUACCGGGGGGUUACCGGAACCCCCCGGGGGUUAAUGGGCCUACAUGGGCCAUGAGGGAGAAGAGGAGGGCCGGCCAGGGUAGGCUGCACGCCCCCUCCCCCCUAGUCCGAAAAGGACAAGGAAAGGGGGGGCGGCGCCCCCCUUUCCUCUUUCCCCUCCCCCCUUUCCUUCUCCACCAAGGCAAGAGGGGGGAGUCCUACUCCCAGUGGGAGUAGGACUCCUCCAGGCGCACCCCUAGGGGGCCGGCCGCACUUCCCCCUCCCUCCUUUAUAUACAGGGGCAGGGGGGCACCCCAUGACACACAAGUUUAUCAUCAUGAUCGUUCCUUAGCCGUGUGCGGUGCCCCCCUCCACCAUAUUCCACCUCGGUCAUAUCGUUGCGGUGCUUAGGCGAAGCCCUGCGUUGGUAGAACAUCAUCAUAGUCACCAAGCCAUCGUGCUGACAGAACUCAUCUCCGACACCUUGCUGGAUCGGAGUCCGGGGAUCGUCAUCGAGCUGAACGUGUGCUGAACUCGGAGGUGCCGUAUGUUCGGUGCUUGGAUCGGUCAGAUCGUGAAGACGUACGACUACAUCAACCACAUUGUCAUAACGCUUCCGCUUACGGUCUACGAGGGUACGUGGACAACACUCUCCCCUCUCGUUGCUAUGCAUCACCAUGAUCUUGCGUGUGCAUAGGAAUUUUUUUGAAAUUACUAUGUUCCCCAAUAGUGGCAUCCGAGCCUGGUUUUAUGCGUAGAUGUUAUAUGCAUGAGUAGAACACAAGUGAGUUGUGGGUGAUAUAAGUCAUACUGCUUACCAGCAUGUCAUACUUUGGUUCAGCGGCAUUGUGAGAUGAAGCGGCCCGGACCGACAUUACGCGUACGCUUACGCGAGACUGGUUUCACCGCUACGAGCACUCGUUGCUUAAAGGUGACCGGCGGGUGUCUGUCUCUCUCACUUUAGUUGAACUGAGUAUGGCUACGCCCGGUCCUUGCGAAGGUUAAAACUACACCAACUUGACAAACUAUCGUUGUGGUUUUGAUGCGUAGGUAAGAACGGUUCUUGCUCAGCCCGUAGCAGCCACGUAAAACUUGCAACAACAAAGUAGAGGACGUCUAACUUGUUUUUGCAGGGCAUGUUGUGAUGUGAUACGGUCAAGACAUGAUGCUUUAUUUUACUCUAUGAGAUGAUCAUGUUUUGUAACCGAAGUUAUUGGCAACUGGCAGGAGCCAUAUGGUUGUCGCUUUAUUAUAUGAAAUGCAAAUGCCCUAUAAUUGCUUUACUUUAUCACUAAGCGAUAGCGAUAGUCGUAGAAGCAAUAGAUGGCGUAACGACAACGAUGCUACGAUGGAGAUCAAGGUGUCGCGCCGGUGAUGAUGGUGAUCACGAUGGUGCUUCGGAGAUGGAGAUCACAAGCACAAGAUGAUGAUGGCCAUAUCAUAUCACUUAUAUUGAUUGCAUGUGAUGUUUAUCCUUUAUGCAUCUUAUCUUGCUUUGAUUGACGGUAGAAUUUUAAGAUGAUCUCUCACUAAAUUAUCAAGAAGUGUUCUCCCUGAGUAUGCACCAUUGCAAAAGUUCUUCGUGCUGAGACACCACAUGAUGAUCGGGUGUGAUAGGCUCUACGUUCAAAUACAACGGGUGUAAAACAGUUGCACACGCGGAAUACUCAGGUUAAACUUGACGAGCCUAGCAUAUACAGAUAUGGCCUCGGAACACGGAGACCGAAAGGUCGAACGUGAAUCAUAUAGUAGAUAUGAUUAACAUAGUGAUGUUCACCAUUGAAACUACUCCAUCUCACGUGAUGAUCGGACAUGGUUUAGUUAAUUUGGAUCACGUUAUCACUUAGAUGACUAGAGAGAUGUCUGUCUAAGUGGGAGUUCUUAAGUAAUAUGAUUAAUUGAACUUAAAUUUAUCAUGAACUUAGUACCUGAUAGUAUUUUGCUUGUCUAUGUUUGAUGUAGAUAGAUGGCUCGUGCUGUUGUUCCAUUGAAUUUUAAUGCGUUCCUUGAGAAAGCUAAGUUGAAAGAUGAUGGUAGCAAUUACAUGGACUGGGUCCGUAACCAGAGGAUUAUCCUCAUUGCUGCACAGAAGAAUUACGUCCUGGAAGCACCGCUGGGUGCCAGGCCUGCUGCUGAUGCAACUGACGACGUUAAGAACGUCUGGCAGAGCAAAGCUGAUGACUACUCGAUAGUUCAGUGUUCCAUGCUUUACGAUUUGGAACCGGGUCUUCAACAACGUUUUGAACGUCAUGGAGCAUAUGAGAUGUUUCAGGAGUUGAAGUUAAUAUUUCAAGCAAAUGCCCGGAUUGAGAGAUAUGAAGUGUCCAAUAAGUUCUAUAGCUGUAAGAUGGAGGAGAAUAGUUCUGUCAGUGAACACAUACUCAAAAUGUCUGGGUAUAAUAAUCACUUGAUUCAACUGGGAGUUAAUCUUCCUGAUGAUAGUGUCAUUGACAGAAUUCUUCAAUCACUGCCACCAAGCUACAAGAACUUCGUGAUGAACUAUAAUAUGCAAGGGAUGGACAAGACUAUACCCGAGCUCUUCGCAAUGCUAAAAGCCGCGGAGGUAGAAAUCAAGAAGGAGCAUCAAGUGUUGAUGGUUAACAAGACCACCAGUUUCAAGAAAAAGGGCAAAGGGAAGAAGAAGGGGAACUUCAAGAAGAACAGCAAACAAGUUGCUGCUCAGGAGAAGAAACCCAAGUCCGGACCUAAGCCUGAGACUGAGUGCUUCUACUGCAAGCAGACUGGACACUGGAAGCGGAACUGCCCCAAGUAUUUGGCGGAUAAGAAGGAUGGCAAAGUGAACAAAGGUAUAUAUGAUAUACAUGUUAUUGAUGUGUACCUUACUAAUGCUCGCAGUAGCACCUGCGUAUUUGAUACUGGUUCUGUUGCUAAUAUUUGCAACUCGAAACAGGGACUACGGAUUAAGCGAAGAUUAGCUAAGUACGAGGUGACGAUGCGCGUGGGAAAUGGUUCCAAAGUCGAUGUGAUCGCGGUCGGCACGCUACCUCUACAUCUACCAUCGGGAUUAGUUUUAGACCUAAAUAAUUGUUAUUUGGUGCCAGCGUUGAGCAUGAACAUUAUAUCUGGAUCUUGUUUGAUGCGAGAUGGUUAUUCAUUUAAAUCAGAGAAUAAUGGUUGUUCUAUUUAUAUGAGUAAUAUCUUUUAUGGUCAUGCACCCUUGAAGAGUGGUCUAUUUUUAUUAAAUCUCGAUAGUAGUGAUACACAUAUUCAUAAUGUUGAAACCAAAAGAUGCAGAGUUAAUAAUGAUAGUGCAACUUAUUUGUGGCACUGCCGUUUAGGUCAUAUCGGUGUAAAGCGCAUGAAUAAACUCCAUACUAAUGGACUUUUGGAAUCACUUGAUUAUGAAUCACUUGGUACUUGUGAACCGUGCCUCAUGGGCAAGAUGACUAAAAUGCCGUUCUCCGGAACUUUGGAGCGAGCAACUGAUUUGUUGGAAAUCAUACAUACUGAUGUAUGUGGUCCAAUGAAUAUUGAGGCUCACGGCGGGUAUCGUUAUUUUCCCACCUUCACAGAUGAUUUGAGCAGAUAGGGGUAUAUUUACUUGAUGAAACACAAGUCUGAAACAUUUGAAAAGUUCAAAGAAUUUCAGAGUGAAGUGGAAAAUCAUCGUAACAAGAAAAUAAAAUUUCUACGAUCUGAUCAUGGAGGAGAAUAUUUGAGUUAUGAGUUUGGCUUACAUUUGAAACAAUGUGGAAUAGUUUCACAACUCACGCCACCCGGAACACCACAACGAAAUGGUGUGUCCGAACGUCGUAAUCGUACUUUACUAGAUAUGGUGCAAUCUAUGAUGUCUCUUACCGAUUUACCGCUAUCAUUUUGGGGUUAUGCUUUAGAGAGGGCCGCAUUCACGUUAAAUAGGGCACCAUCAAAAUCCAUUGAGACGACACCUUAUGAACUGUGGUUUGGCAAGAAACCAAAGUUGUCGUUUCUUAAAGUUUGGGGGUGCGAUGCUUAUGUGAAGAAACUUCAACCAGAUAAGCUCAAAACCAAAUCGGAGAAAUGUGUCUUCAUAGGAUACCCAAAAGAGACUAUUGGGUACACCUUCUAUCACAGAUCUGAGGGCAAGAUUUUCGUUGCUAAAUUCGGAUCCUUUCUAGAGAAGGAGUUUCUCUUGAAAUAAGUGAGUGGGAGGAAAGUAGAACUUGAUGAGGUAACUGUACCUACUCCCUUAUUGGAAAGUAGUUCAUCACAAGAACCGGUUCCUGUGACAACUACACCAAUUAAUGAGGAAGCUAAUGAUAUUGAUCAUGAAACUUUAGAUCAAGUUUCUACUGAACCUCGUAUGUCUACCAGAGUAAGAUCCACACCAGAGUGGUACGGUAAUCCUAUUCUGGAAGUCAUGUUACUUGACCAUGACAAACCUACGAACUAUGAGGAAGCGAUGAUGAGCCCAGAUUCCGCAAAAUGGUUAGAAGCCAUGAAAUCUGAGAUGGGAUCCAUGUAUGAGAACAAAGUAUGGACUUUGGUUGACUUGCCCGAUGAUCGGCAAGCCAUUGAGAAUAAAUGGAUCUUCAAGAAGAAGACUGACGUUGAUGGUAAUGUAACUGUCUACAAAGCUCGACUUGUUGCAAAAGGUUUUCGACAAGUUCAAGGGGUUGACUACGAUGAGAAUUUCUCACCCGUAGCAAUGCUUAAGUUUGUCCGAAUCAUGUUAGCAAUUGCUGCAUUUUAUGAUUAUGAAAUUUGGCAAAUGGAUGUCAAAACUGCAUUCCUGAAUGGAUUUCUGGAAGAAGAGUUGUAUAUGAUGCAACCGGAAGGUUUUGUCGAUCCAAAAGGUGCUAACAAAGUGUGCCAGCUCCAGCGAUCCCUUUAUGGACUGGUGCAAGCAUCUCGGAGUUGGAAUAAACGCUUUGAUAGUGUGAUCAAAGCAUAUGGUUUUAUACAGACUUUUGGAGAAGCCUGUAUUUACAAGAAAGUGAGUGGGAGCUCUGUAGAAUUUCUGAUAUUAUAUGUAGAUGACAUAUUGUUAAUUGGAAAUGAUAUAGAAUUUCUGGAUAGCAUAAAGGGAUACUUGAAUAAAAGUUUUUCAAUGAAAGACCUCGGUGAAGCUGCUUACAUAUUGGGCAUCAAGAUCUAUAGAGAUAGAUCAAGACGCUUAAUUGGACUUUCACAAAGCACAUACCUUGAUAAAGUUUUGAAAAAGUUCAAAAUGGAUCAGGAAAAGAAAGGGUUCUUGCCUGUAUUACAAGGUGUGAAGUUGAGUCAGACUCAAUGCCCGACCACCGCAGAAGAUAGAGAGAAAAUGAAAGAUGUUCCCUAUGCUUCAGCCAUAGGCUCUAUCAUGUAUGCAAUGUUGUGUACCAGACCUGACGUAUGCUUAGCAAUAAGCUUGGAAGGUAGGUACCAAAGUAAUCCAGGAGUGGAUCACUGGACAGCGGUCAAGAACAUCCUAAAAUACCUGAAAAGGACUAAGGAUAUGUUUCUCGUUGAUGGAGGUGACAAAGAGCUAGUCGUAAAUGGUUACGUCGAUGCAAGCUUUGACACUGAUCCGGACGAUUCUAAAUCACAAACCGGAUACGUGUUUUUAUUAAACGGUGGAGCUGUAAGUUGGUGCAGUUCUAAACAAAGCGUCGUGGCGGGAUCUACAUGUGAAGCAGAGUACAUAGCUACUUCGGAAGCAGCAAAUGAAGGAGUCUGGAUGAAGGAGUUCAUUUCUGAUCUAGGUGUCAUACCUAGUGCAUCGGGACCAAUGAAGAUCUUCUGUGACAAUACUGGUGCAAUUGCCUUGGCAAAGGAAUCCAGAUUUCACAAGAGGACCAAGCACAUCAAGAGACGCUUCAAUUCCAUCCGGGACCAAGUCCAGGUGGGAGACAUAGAGAUUUGCAAGAUACAUACGGAUCUGAAUGUUGCAGACCUGUUGACUAAGCCUCUUCCACGAGCAAAACAUGAUCAACACCAAGACUCCAUGGGUGUUAGAAUCAUUACUGUGUAAUCUAGAUUAUUGACUCUAGUGCAAGUGGGAGACUGAAGGAAAUAUGCCCUAGAGGCAAUAAUAAAGUUAUUAUUUAUUUCCUCAUAUCAUGAUAAAUGUUUAUUAUUCAUGCUAGAAUUGUAUUAACUGGAAACAUAAUACAUGUGUGAAUACAUAGACAAACUUAAUGUCACUAGUAUGCCUCUACUUGACUAGCUCAUUAAUCAAUGAUGGUUAUGUUUCCUAACCAUAGACAUGUUUUGUCAUUUGAUUAACGGGAUCACAUCAUUAGGAGAAUGAUGUGAUUGACUUGACCCAUUCUGUUAGCCUAGCACUUGAUCGUUUAGUAUGUUGCUAUUGCUUUCUUCAUGACUUAUACGAAGUUCCUACAACUAUGAGAUUAUGCAACUCCCGUUUAUCGAAAGAACACUUUGUGUGCUACCAAAUGUCACAACGUAACUGGAUGAUUAUAAAGGAGUUCUACAUGUGUCUCUGAAGGUACAUGUUGGGUUAGCGUAUUUCGAGAUUAGGAUUUGUCACUCCGAUUGUCGGAGAGGUAUCUCUGGGCCCUCUCGGUAAUGCACAUCACUAUAAGCCUUGCAAGCAAUGUAGCUAAUGAGUUAGUUACGGAAUUAUGCAUUACGUAACGAGUAAAGAGACUUGCCGGUAACGAGAUUGAACUAGGUAUUGGAUACCGAUGAUCGAAUCUCGGGCAAGUAACAUACCGAUGACAAAGGGAACAACGUAUGUUGUUAUGCGGUUUGACCGAUAAAGAUCUUCGUAGAAUAUGUAGGAGCCAAUAUGAGCAUCCAGGUUCCGCUAUUGGUUAUUGACCGGAAACAGUUCUAGGUCAUGUCUACAUAGUUCUCGAACCCGUAGGGUCCGCACGCUUAACGUUACGAUGACAGUUUUAUUAUGAGUUUAUAAGUUUUGAUGUACCGAAGAUUGUUCGGAGUCCCAGAUGUGAUCACGGACAUGACGAGGAGUCACGAAAUGGUCGAGACAUAAAGAUUGAUAUAUUGGAAGCCUAUAUUUGGAUAUCGGAAACGUUCCGGGUGAAAUCGGGAUUUUACCGGAGUACCGGGGGGUUACCGGAACCCCCCCGGGGGUUAAUGGGCCUACAUGGGCCAUGAGGGAGAAGAGGAGGGCCGGCCAGGGAAGGCCGCGCGCCCCUCCCCCCUAGUCCGAAUAGGACAAGGAAAGGGGGGCGGCGCCCCCCUUUCCUCUUUCCCCUCCCCCUUUUCCUUCUCCACCAAGGCAAGAGGGGGGAGUCCUACUCCCGGUGGGAGUAGGACUCCUCCAGGCGCACCCCUAGGGGGCCGGCCGCACCUCCCACUCCCUCCUUUAUAUACGGGGGAAGGGGGGCACCCCAUGCCACACAAGUUGAUCAUCGUGAUCGUUCCUUAGCCGUGUGCGGUGCCCCCCUCCACCAUAUUCCACCUCGGUCAUAUCGUUGUGGUGCUUAGGUGAAGCCCUGCAUCGGUAGAACAUCAUCAUCGUCACCACGCCGUCGUGCUGAUGGAACUCAUCCCUGACACCCUGCUGGAUCGGAGUCCGGGGAUCAUCAUUGAGCUGAACGUGUGCUGAACUCGGAGGUGCCGUAUGUUCGGUGCUUGGAUCGGUCGGACCAUGAAGACGUACGUCUACAUCAACCGCGUUGUCAUAACGUUUCCGCUUACGGUCUACGAGGGUACGUGGACAACACUCUCCCCUCUCGUUGCUAUGCAUCACCAUGAUCUUGCGUGUGCGUAGGAUUUUUUUUUGAAAUUACUAUGUUCCCCAACAUGAGCUUGAUGUCAUAUGUUCGGAGAUUGUCGAACGUAAACCUCAGGUCAUCUAUUAAAGAUUCGACGUGUCUGGUCUUGAUGACCACGUCAUCCAUGUAUGCCUCAACUGUUUUGCCGAUUUGUUUUUCCAGGCACGCCUGAAUCAUGCGUUGAUAGGUUGCACAUGCAUUUUUGAGCCCGAAAGGCAUGGUGUUGAAACAGAAAGGGCCAUAUGGAGUGAUAAAUGCCGUUGCGGCUUGAUCGGACUCCGCCAUCUUGAUUUGAUGGUAUCCGGAGUAUGUGUCAAGGAAGCACAAUGAGUCAUGUCCUGUGGUAGCGUCGAUGAUUUGAUCGAUGCGGGGGAGAGGGAAGGGAUCCUUGGGGCAAGCCUUAUUGAGGUCCUUGAAAGCGACACAUAGGCGCCAGGAUUUGUCCUUCUUUGGUACCAUUACCAGAUUUGCUAGCCAGUCCAGGUGUUUUAUUUCUCUGAUGAAUCCGGCUUCGAGUAACUUGGCUAGCUCCUCUCCCAUGGCUUGUCGUUUAGGUUAUGAAAAGCGCCGAAGAGUCUGCUUGACCGACUUGUAUCCCUUCAGUAUGUUUAGGCUGUGCUCGGCCAACCUACGUGGGAUACUUGGCAUGUCUGAAGGGUGCUAGGCGAAGAUGUCCCGAUUCUCACGCAAGAACGCCCGCAGUGCGGCGUCUAUUGUGGGGUUUAGCUGUGCCCCGAUGGAUGCUGUUUUUGUAGAGUCCGUUGGGUGGACUUGGAAUUUGACUAUUUCGUCCGCUGGUUUGAAAGAGGUGGACUUGGGUCGUUUGUCGAGUAUCACGUCGUCCCUGUCCACUAUGGAGUGCAGCGCAGUUAGUUCUUUGGCCGCGAGGGCUUUAGAUCAUGCCUCGAGGGCCAGAGCGGCGGUUUUAGUUUUGGUGCGGAGUGCUACGUCUGGAUCACCGGCUAGAGUGAUGAUUCCAUUGGGCCUGGGCAUCUUGAGCUUCAUGUACCCGUAAUGUGGUAUAGCUUGGAAGCUCGUGAAUGCGUCCCGCCCUAAAAGGGUGUGGUAUCCGCUACUGAACGGGGCUACUUGGAAUGUUAUUUUUUCGGACCUAUAAUUCUUCGCGUGCCGAAUACCACAUCGAGUGUGAUUUUUCCCGCACAUCGUGCCUCCCGACUAGGGAUAAUUCCUCUGAAGGUCGUGCUGCUUUGCUCAAUGCGGCUCUUGUCUAUUUCCAUUUUGUUGAGAGUUUCCUCGUAGAUGAGGUUUAAUCCACUGGCACUGUCCAUGAGCACUUUAGUAAGCCGGAAGCCAUCCACAAUUGGACUAAGGACCAAAGCGGCUGGUGCUCGGACUGUUCGGAAUUGAGGUUCGUCACUGGCAUUUAAGGUUAUGGCCGUGUCAUUCCAAGGAUUUAUUGCUGCAAUGUGGCAGACUUCGGCGAGGCUGUGGAGUGCUCUCUUGCGCCUGUUAUUUGAGGCAAAAGUCUCGAAGACUGUCAAUACUGUAUUGUUGUUUUCUGCGGGAUGAUGCUCUGCGGUAUCAUUAAUGAGGAGAUCCUCACCGCUCUUGGCCACCUUCCAAAGUAUCCAACAUGCUCUAAGGCUGUGUGUUGGUACGGUAUCCGGUGUGGUGUGAAUUUUGCAUGGCCCAUUGAGCCAUCCCUCCAAUACGGUUCCACGCCCUGUAGUGGGCUUUGGUUUCUUUGUAAUUGGAUCGAGUGACUUGCGAGAGUGCACCCUUUUAGUUUGGACGAGGGGUUUAGUGAGAGACGGAGGAUCCCAGAAUUUUGCUUGGGUUUUCCAGGUGCUUUCCAUCGCAUAGUACUUCUGUACUAUGGCCUCCAAGUCAGCGAAGUGUGCUAUGUCACGGCGACUUACGGCGUUGAGGAUUCCCUUGUCCGUGCAAUUUUUGCAAAAGAAUGAGAUUGUGUCUUCCUCGCGACAGUCCUUGACCUUGCUCAUUACAAGGAGGAAUCUGGCCCAAAAGUGAUGUGCUCAUCUUGGGAUUGUUGUCUAAUGUGGGAAAGAUCGCUUGUAUCUAGGUGGGUGGGUAGAUUUAAGUCUGAACCCUGACCUGAUCUGAGACCCAGGGGCAGAGGAGCUUCCGAACUUGGUAGAUCGGGUUCUGGGAUGUUGCCCAAUUUUUCUGACACGCCGUCCGAUUCUAAGUUCGGAGCUUGGGUCAUGUCCUCCUGUAGACGGGUAUCCGGCUCGGAGAGCUCGAGAAUCCAGACAUAGUUCGUCCUCAAAAUAGAGGCGGAAUUGCUGCAUUGCUCCUCCACCAUCGCUAUCUCAUGGGUGACCGGCGGAGAGUUAAUCUCUCUUUGGUCGGGUUUAAGCCCAAUCUGAUCAUAGUCCGCAGAGACUCCCAAGGAGGCGAUGCGAUCCAAGAGCUCGUUCAAGGAUGAGAGCUCCAUUGGAUCCAUCUGCUCGGUGUAUUCCGAGCUGACGUGGAGGCUGUUUUUGAUGACCCGAGAAGUCAUCGUCGGCGCGGCGGUCGCACGGGCGGUCAUGACGGAGCCGCCUAGUCAGAGGGUUUGGCCUAAAGCCAGGGCUCCCCCAGCGGUGAUGUUGUCCUUAAUAACAAGGCUAGCCAUCAAACCUUUUUCGACGUCACAAUGAAACUCUCAAUGGAAGCACCAAUGUCGGUGUCAAAACCGGCGGAUCUCGGGUAGGGGGUACCAAACUGUGCGUCUAAGGCUAAUGGUAACAGGAGGCAGGGGACACAAUGUUUACCCAGGUUUGGGCCCUCUCUAUGGAGGUAAUACCCUACUUCCUGCUUGAUUGAUCUUGAUGAUAUGAGUAUUACAAGAGUUGAUCUACCAUGAGAUCAUAGAGGCUAAACCCUAGAAGCUAGCCUAUGAUUAUGAUUGUUGUUGUCCUAGGGACUCCGGUUUAUAUAGACACCAGAGGGGGCUAGGGUUACACAGAGUUGGUUACAGAGAAGGAAAUCUACAUAUCCGAAUUACCAAGCUUGCCUUCCACGCAAAGGAGAGUCCCACCAGGACACGGGACGAAGUCUUCAAUCUUGUAUCUUCAUAGUCCAACAGUCAGGCACAAGUACAUAGUCCGGCUGUCCGAGGAUCCCCUAAUCUAGGACUGUCACGCCCAAUAUGCGACCCUAUCCAAAAGGAACUCGAAGGUCCCACCAAGGAUAGACCCGCAUAUGAAACGCUUUUGCAAGGUGGAUAUCAUUACAUCAACAUUACAUAAAUAGAUGGGGAUACAUACAUAAGGCAUACAAUGCCACAUGAAUACAAUAUCACAAUACAUGAGAGCAUCAUCCGACUACGGAUGAAACACAAACAGAAACUCAAACGACAUCCACCCUGCUAGCCCAGGCUGCCGACCUGGAACCUAUCCCCUGAUCGAAGAAGAAGCAGAAGAAGAACUCAACUCAAGCAAGCAUCGCUCUCGCGUCAUGAUCAUCGCAUAACCUGUACCUGCAACUGUUGUUGUAGUAAUCUGUGAGCCACGAGGACUCAGCAAUCCCAUUACCAUGGGUAUCAAGACUAGCAAAGCUUAAAGGGGAAGGAAGGGGUAAAGUGGUGAGGCUGCAGCAGCGACUAAGCAUAUAUGGUGGCUAACAUACGCAAAUAAGAGCGAGAAGAGAGCAAGCGGAACGGUCGUCAACUAGUAAUGAUCAAGAAGUGAUCCUGAACUCCUACUUACGUCAAACAUAACCCAAAGACCGUGUUCACUUCCCGGACUCCGCCAAGAAGAGACCAUCACGGCUACACACACGGUUGAUGCAUUUUAAUUCGGAUCUGAUGUCAAGUUAUCUACAACCGGACAUUAACAAAUUCCCAUCUGCCUAUAACCGCGGGCACGGCUUUUGAAAGAUUAUACCCUGCAGGGGUGUCCCAACUUAGCCCAUGACAAGCUCUCGCGAUCAAUGAAGGAAUAGACCUUCUCCCAGGAAGACCCGAUCAGACUCGGAAUCCCGGUUUACAAGACAUUUCGACAAUGGUAAAACAAGACCAGCAAAGCCGCCCGAUGCGCCGACAAUCCCGAUAGGAGCUGCACAUAUCUCGUUCUCAGGGCAACACCGGAUGAGCAAUCCGUACAACUAAAACGACACCUCAAGUUUCCCUGAGGGGGCGUUGCAAAGGGCUCUAGUUCGGACCAACACUUAGACAAGCACUGGCCCGGGGGGGGGGGCUAUAAUAAAGAUGACCCUCGAGAGAGCAACUCCCAAGGGAAAAGGUAGGUGGUGAUGAGGCAAAUGGUAAAACCAAGGUUGGGCCUUGCUGGAGGAGUUUUAUUCAAAGUGAACUGUCAAGGGGGUCCCAUAAAUCACCCGACCGCAUAAGAGACGCAAAAUCCGGGAACAUAACACCGGUAUGACGGAAACUAGGGCGGCAAGAGUGGAACAAAACACCAGGCAUAAGGCCGAGCCUUCCACCCUUUACCAAGUAUAUAGAUGCAUUAAUAAUAUAAGAGAUAUUGUGAUAUCCCAACCAAAAUCCUGUCCACCAUGGAGCAAUCUCCAACUUCACCUGCAACUAACAACGCUAUAAGAGGGGCUGAGCAAAGCGGUAACAUAGCCAAGCAACGGUUUGCUAGGAAUGGUGUCAAAGGUUAGAGGUUCAUGGCAAUUUGGGAUGGCUUGAUAAACAGGUAAUAGGUAGCGCAGCAUAGCGAUAGAACGAAGCAACUAGCAUAGCAAUGAUAGUAGUGAGAUCCAGGGUAGCGGUCAUCUUGCCUGAGAUCCAGCAUGGAAGAAGAACGAGUCCAUGAAGAAGACAAGCGGACGUAGUCGAACGAAUCCUCACGAACGCAACAUUACCGGAACUAAGAAGCAACACCGGAAAGAAACAAAAAAAC